rnacentral:lncRNA from 1 species
GCGAUGUAGCUGUGUAGCCUUUUAGCAUAAGCUUAAAGCUUUCCCGAUGUUGUUUUAUUCUCCUUUGACUAUGCACAUAUGCUUUCUCUAACAAUUUACCUUUGUUCUGGAGCCACUGUCUCCGAGAAAGGCUAACAGUUAGUUAAUCCAGGGGCAUAUGUAACUAUCUGUACCUUAUCUUGUGUCUUCACUGAUGCAACCGGACUGUCGGUGUAUCUCGUAUGAUGUUCUCGUUCUGCUACUUUGCUGCCUUUUCUUCGGAUGCAGCUUAAUUCCUUUAAUUUCUACUCUCUUUUUUUGCGGGAAACUGUCGAUCUAUUCAUCUUCAAACAUGGCAGUACAACGAACACCAGAAAUAAAAAAAUUUACAUCCAGAUUCAUAGACCACCUAGCGACGAUUACAAGCACUGAAGUGAGCUGAAGGCGCGCCGCCGUCAUCGCCGCUCUCUCGCCGGAGCCGGGCACAACUUGUUGUAGUAGACAGUCGGGAAGUCGUUGUGCUAAGGUCCAUAGGACCAACGCCUCAGAACAGUAACCGCCGUCGAUGAAAGAUAAUUUUAGAUCGGAAGGAUUCAACCUGAAGAUACAUGAACAAAGAAGAACAAAGACCGGAUCCGAGCUGAUUCACCAAAGGCAACCACCAAUCAAAUCUCGCGAGAUCCGUCGGAGACACUUUCACACGUCGAAACUGCUAGAUACACCAUUGGGACGGGGGCUAGGUGGGGAAAAUCUUAUUCCAUCUUCAAUAAGCCGCCACCGUCUCGUCUCUUGAGCAGGACAUAAACCCUUACAAAACUUGAAGAAGCACCUAAAAACGGAGCCCUCCCACCGGCAAGGGAUGGGAUCCACCGCGCGCCAUCCAUGGCCUUAGGGCCACAGGAGACGUGAGAGAUUGGGGUCUAUCUCACCUGAAAAGUGAAUAAUCUUAUUGCAUUCUCGACCGUAGUAUAUAUCCAUCGAACUAAAGUUGGUGUCAGUCAGGAUGCGCAAAGCACUGAUCAUUGGGUAGGGUUUACUGGGUUGUUUGAUUUGUCAUAUGGGCAUCUACAACCGGACCCACCACUUCCCUUCUGGCGUGAGUUAAAAAUGCCGGGAAAUCGGACCAACCAAACCCAUCCCAAAUGUUUGGGCUGUCCGGCAUCCUUCAUAUGCAACAUCAAACUUAUCUUAAAUGUUUGGGUUGUCCGACACACUUCAUAUGCAACAUCUCAAAUGUUUGGGCUGUCCGACACCCUUCAUAUGCAAACACCAAACCCAUCCUAAAUGUUUGGAUUGUCCGGCACACUUCAUAUGCAAUUCAUAUGUGAGGUGAAUAUGAGGUGGUCAAAACCUCGGCUCUUCUGGCCGCACCAGCCCACCCCAAGGGCUUUGCCCAAUAAGCAGCAGCAGCAACACGGGAGGAAAAGGGCGUGUUGUCGAGGGGCGGCCGGGGAGGAGCAGGUUGAGGCCAUACCACCAUGUCGGGCCGGCCGGAGGACACAACAGUAGAAGGAAGGAAGACUCGAACUAGGUUGAGGCCAUGCCACCAUGUCGAGCAGGACGGAGGACACAACAUCGGAGGGAGGAAGACCCGAACUUCGCUAGAUCGGAUCCGCGGUGGAGGGGGAGGGGGUGCCACAGUGCACCAGGGUCGGAGCUGCAUGCCGCCAUCAUCCUGGAGCGCCGUGCUAUCGCUGACAAGCCCUUCAAGGGCGGCGAUGCGGAGGGAGAAGGAAGCUAGCGACGGUGGCUACGGUUCCCUCGUGUCGCGAGACGCAGGCGUUGCGGGGGAUGAGUUUCACCAACCAAAUCAUACAUGUUGCGGGGGAUUAGUUUCACCAAAUGAUACACACACAAGAAUGGAAAAAAUCAUGAAAAAUUAAACUAUUAUACAAUAAUUACUUUAUGUGACGAGGAUAUGGAGAGAUCGUAGAAAGGCAUGGGAUAGUUAUUUUUGUAUGAGACUUGUUGUAAAUUCGUUAACUUAAGAAAGAAAAACAUAUAUACAUAACAGAAAAAAUUAAUAAGAUGAGAUUCGACCUCCCCUUACAUAUUUAAUUUCUUCUCCUAUACAAAAGUUAGCAAGACCCACUCAAUUGCUAAUUUCAUCAAUAACACCCUUAUAAAUAAACUAUGUUAGUUCGGUUAAUCCUCUUAUACCGAGGAUAAAGACCCUAUUAUACGAAAUGGUAUUUUUUUUAACUUUCCUUUUUGUUCAUAUGGUUUGUAAUGAAGUAAAUCGUGUGUGUGUUUUCCAUUCGAUUUGUAGGUUGACUGUGACCAGAUUAAGCAUGGCGACUUAAGAAAUUGUUUGCUAUUUACUUCUAUGGCAAUUUCCUAUCCUGGCUAUUUUGCCAUGUGAAUUAACAUGUUGUAUGGUGGUGGCAAGACAAUUUUUUGGAAUAAAAAUUCUUAUAACAUGGAAAAUUUACAUUUUUUUAGUUCAUUCACAUGACAAUUUUUUUGAAAAUUUAUCCUAAAUCAUGGCAAAUUUAGAUAAUUGUUUAUGAUGGUCACACAUGAAAUGUAGGGUUUUGUUGUUCUAUACAACAAUCCAUGUUUUUGAAUUUAGUAAUUACCAGACAAUAAAUUCCCAACACUUUUGUACUACAUUUGCAUGGUAAAAAAUAUUAGGACAUUGUUUCUGUCCCAAAUGAUGAUUUUUUUAAUAUAUUGUUAUCAUUUUCACAUGAAAAAUGUAGGUAUUCUGUUUCUGAGUUGGACCAUGGCAAGAAAAAUGUAUUUAUCAUGGCAUUUUUAUUGUAAUUUUCCCUUUUACCAUGUAUUUGUAGAUACAAUGGCAUAUUAUUUUCUUGAACAUAUUUUUUUCGCCAUGACCCUUGUCAAAAAAUAAUCCACUCAUCUAUGAUUUUCCUACCUUUCACCAUUAUAUAGACAUGAAAAAUUAUGACAAAUUUCAUUUGUCCGAGUUUGAACGAGCCAAUGUGAACUUUGAUGACACAUGGCAAUUUUGGUUUCCUUUGCCAUGUCCAUGUCCAAAGGUAGGAAAACAAGAUUUUGCCAAGUCUCAUCUACAUUUUUGACGAUCCAUGGUGAUUUGGUUUCAUGGCGCAUGGCAAUUUGGUUUCAUGACACGUGGUAAUUUUGGACAUGUCCAUGUCCAAAAUGAAACUAAUUUUGCCAUGUCUCAUCUAAAUUUUAUCCUACAUUUUCCAUGGCAAGCAAGAUCCUUUGUAAUACCUUUUCAUAAUUUAAAUUCAUGUUCGGCCAUGCCGAUUAAAUAUACCUCAAUUAUUCAUUUCCUUUUUUGAUGAUGGCAUAAUAACAUGUGUUCCCAUGGCAAAUUUGAAAUAUUUUUUAAUAUUUAUUUUGGUAAUUUUGGCAUGUCUUAUUUACAUUUUUUCCAAUGUUUUCCAUGGCUAUCAACAUCUUUUUGUUGUCUUUAGCAAUUAAGUUCUCAAUUUCGCCAUGGCAACUAAAUAUCCUUAACUUUUGUGUUCCUAUGGCAAUUUUUGAAAUGUUUGUUGGAAAACAAAUUGCUAUUUUUUCAUGCCUCAUCUACAACUUUUUUGACUACAUUUGCCAUGGCAAAAGAAGAUCUUUUUAUUGCCUUGGCAAUAAAAUUUAUUAUUUCCCAUACCAACUAAAUAUACUCCAAUUGGAGUUUUUGUUGCACAAUUUUUGUAGCAUGGCAGAUUUUGGUUUGCCAACAUACCAUGGCAAAUUAGAUUUUUUGGAUAAAUUAUUUUGUGUAUGCCAUGAAAAAUUUGUUUUUACAUGACUAUUUCAAAACUUUUUAUUUUACUUUUAUACCAUCUUCUCUUAUUGAAAUGAUCGAUAUAGUUGACUAGAGGGGAAGGGGGGGUGAAUAGGUAACUACCAUUUUUAUCCUUUUUUAACAAAUUAGGGUUAGCAACAAAUAGGUUGUCUAGAUAUGCAACUAGGUGAGCAACCUAUAUGAUGCUAACAACAACAAGCAAGGGAUACAACACAAAUAAAGUUUGCACAAAGUAAAGGUAAGAGAUAACCACAGGUGGAACCAGAGGAGACGAGGAUGAGUUACCGAAGUUCCUUCCCUUUGAGAGGAAGUACGUCUCCGUUGGAGCGGUGUGGAGGCACAAUGCUCCCCUAGAAGUCAAUAGGGCCACCGUAUUCUCCUCACGUCCUAACACAAUGUGAGAUGCCGUGAUUCUACUAGUGGUGCCCUUGAAGGCGGCAACCGGAUCUUUACAAAGAAGGUUGGGGCUCUCUCUCCACAACCAAAUUGGAGGCUCCCAACAACACCACAAAGCUUCAUCAUAAUGGAAUGUGGCUCUGAGGUAACCUCAAUCGUCUAGGGUGCUCAAACACCCAAGAGUAACAAGAUCCGCAAGGGAUUAGUGGGGGGAAUCAAAUUUCUCUUGGUGGAAGUGUAGAUCUAGGCCUUCUGUUGUAGCGUGGAACCCUAUGGAGAGAUCUUUCACGAAUUGGAGGGGGAAUCCCCAAGAACAAGAUGAACACAAGGAGGGAAAACAAGAGGAACACUCAAGAACAAGUCCAAUCACACAUCCACUAGACCAACAAACACACAAGAUCCACAAGGUACAUGAACAAUCAAAGGGGAACAAGAUACAUGGUAGAGUUCAUCCCAAAUCCUAUGAAGGAGAUGAGGGCUUGAUGAUCUAGGUAGAUCCUUCCCCCAAAGGGGGGUUUGCAUCCCUAGGGAUCUUCUCUAAUGGAGGUCUUGUACUCCAAUGGAGUCUUCUCUCAAAAGAGGAAUCCCACAAGGGGAGGUACAUGAGCUAAGCUCUAUGAUUUGUGUCUAUUCUUAGCUAACCCUAAAAUGGAGGAGAAGGAGGGAUAUAUAUAGGUCCAAGGCAAGGAAGGGGUAAGUGAGGGCGAAAGGGUAAAGUUACAUGGGCCUUGCCCAAAUUCGGCCCGCAGAUGCACUACCGGACAGUCCGGUACGGGGGACCGGACAGUCCGGUGGAAACAGGACUUUUGGGCGUUCAGAAAUUGUACUACCGGACAGUCCGCUUGGGGGACCGGACUGUCCGGUAGUGCAAUUUCUGCACAGACCAAAACUGCCCUCUGGAUGGACCGGACAGUCCGGUUGGGCGACCGGACAGUCCGGUAGUGCAAAUUUUGCACCGUCUUCUUCGGUCGUCGCUUCCAAGCUUCCCUCGCGGACGGUGUAGGCGUACACUUGCGCUUGCACUCCUCCUCAUCAUCCGUGGUGCUCCGAUGAUACCUAUGAAUGCACACAAGAGGAGUGUCAAGUAGUAUACCAUCCUCGAUGGAGUCAAGUGAACACGUGAAAAGGAGAUGAUUCACCUUUGUGUAUGUGAAGUGGAUGUCGCACGUGUCACUCGCCAAACGGACUCUUGACAUGGUGAUGUCUGUAGGAUGCUCCGCAUCAUCCCCUCCCCCUUGGGAAAGAUCCGACCUCGGAUCGAAAACCAAAUCACCAUGGGAAAGAGAUGACAUCGUCGUGUAGAAGUGGACGUUCACCAAGUAGUCAUCAUCUUGAAACUCAUAGUGGUCACUCUCCAAUGUCGCACCAUCGUGUGGUUCCUUCAAAAGGAGUAAGGACAACAAACACUUGGAAAAAUAAAUGUGGUUAGCUUUAGUGCAAAACCAAGCAUUCAAGUGGUGAUUCACCGAACAAGUGUUGUCAUCAUGCAUAGCAUAAGGCGUGACAAAGGAUUGUGACAUGGCAUGUAAGAAUAUGAAUUGAGCACAAUCAAGGUCAUCAUGGAAACAAGCAUGUAAAUGUGAGGUAGUGAUGCAAAUAUUUGGGACAAGAGAAUAAGCAUCUAGCUCAUGGUCAUAGCAAUCAUGCAUAAAGCGCUCGACAAAUGGUCGAUGGUAGGCAUAAGAAUCAUUCACAACACCAACAUAAAUGAAGUGUCUAAACACAUGGGUCAAGUGCAAGACAAUCCAAGCAUAACGUGCAUAGGGUAUAGUGAAUAUAGUGUGGCACUCAACACAAUAGAAAGAGCAAUUGUUCAUCAUGUGUGAGGCAAUCAAGUCAAGCAUGUGACAAGCAAUGGGACAUGGCAUAUGUGAAGAAAUGAUAUUGGUGCAACCAACCAUAUGAUAGGAGCAAGUAGUCCAAGAAUUGGAUGCAACACACAAGGUAUAUAUAUCAUGAAGCAUGGAAAUGUGGUAAUCAUGGGUGAAAGCAAUAUCUCGAACAUGCGUGCAAAUGGUGCAAGCAACACAUGAAGUAUGAUCCACAAUAUCCAAGCUCAAGAAGGAUGUCACCUUGAAAGCGUGUCCUUGUGCGUCCUUCACAAUGCCGAAGCACAAGCAAGUGCGAUGUAGAAUCGUCGUGGUACAAGGUGGUUCGCUCUCAAGAGCUCGAAUGGUCAAUUCACGUGAUGUGGAAGUCGAAACAAUGUCCAAGUAUCCUACACAUGCACAAAACAAAAAAAAGAAAGUAUGCGCAUGGUAGAUAAACACAUCAUCCAUCAUGAUGGUUCUCUUCUUUUGCACAUAACCAUUAAAGCACAAGUGCACGAAUAAUAUGAUGCAACAAUGGCAAUAUUCAUGGCACUAGGUAUAUGGUGCAAAGAGGUAAGGCAAGCAUGCUUCACAAGAAGUAUGUCAAAGUCUCCAAUUAUAUGUGAGAAUGCUAUGGGGGCAAUCUCAUGAGGAAGACUAAAAGCAUUGUUGCACUCAAUACAUGGGAACCCAUCUAGCAUGAGAGAGGCAACAUAUGGAGAUAUAUGGCAAGAAGCAAUGACAAUCAUGUGCAAAGCAUGUAGAUGGUUGUCAUCAACCGCAUGAAAUGAGCAAGUAUGAAUCAUCGGUGAUGCAACAUAAGCAAGCAUAGUAAUCAAGUCGUGCAAACUAGUGGAGCGAAGAUGCAACACACUAGAGGAAAUCAUGGCAAUCAUGUCAUGUGAGCAAUUAAUGGGCAUAGGCAAUGCACAUGACAUAUCGCAAGCACGAUCACAAAUCAAGAUCAAAGCAUAAUCAUAAGCAUUGGGCACAAAGUAAACAUGGCAAAUACAAAUACGAGUACUAGAAUUAAUCAUCAUGUGUAAUGCAAAGCAUGGGUCACAAAUGCAUGGCAAAGGCGUAGGAAUAAGCAUAUCAUGCAAAGUGAACAUCGCGAGAUGGGCAUAUAAUAUGUAAUGGACAAUAACCCAUAACCAAGUGAGGGACAUGUAGAAGAAAUGCGCGAGGUCUUUGCGCGAUGAGAGCGGUGGGAAAGACAAUCCAUAGGAUCCCAAAUCGUCGUUGCUCUCUAGAGCUCGUUUUGUCAACUCAUGGGAUUGUGAGGUUGACAAGUAAGCAUGGGUACCUACACAACAAAUACACAAGCGAAAGAAAUUGUGUGUGUGGUAAAUGUACACAUCAUCCAUCAUGAUGUGUAUGUGCACGUGAGAGUUAGCACAAGAUAAGCAUCGCUCAAAGAAAUUUGAUGCGUGGUAUAAGAACAUGUCAUCCAUCAUGAAAGAAUAGUUAUUAUGUAUGACACGAUGGGGUGCAAAUUUAGCAUACAAGUAUAUGGCACAUCAAUAGCAUGUUUAUUCAUGGGGAGCAUAUUGUGCAUACAAGUGUUGGGAUCAUGCAAUGCAUGGGAUGAAUCAAAAUCUCCUAAAAUGUAUGAGGAAACUAUGGGGGUCUCCUCAUGAGCAAUAUUGGAAACAUCAUAUGGAGAAAAUGGACAACAUCCAAAAUAAUGCAUAUCCGAAGCUAGGUUGUCAUGGCAUGGCAUAUGAGGUAAAUGAUGCAAAGGGAGCAUAUCAAUAUCAUCACAAGAAAAACAAAUGCCAAUAACCAUGGGCUUGUCAUCUAUGCCAUAUGUGCAAAUUGGGUUUAUUUUAAUGGCAUAUGCAUAGUCACUAUGAAGAGAUUGCAAAUAAGACAUAUGGUUGAUCUCAUGCAUAGCAUAUGACAAGUCAAGCGGAUUAUCAAACAUGAUGUGACCAAGGGAAUUGUCACAAGAAAUCCUAUGUAACAUGGCAUCACAACUAGGCAACUCAACAUGCUCACCAUCAUAUUCAUCAUAAAUUGGUAAGUCAAGACAUGAGGAAGUCGCACUAGCAUGAAGCAUGGAAAUUGGUUAAGCAACAUCAUGCAAGCAAUCAAUGCCAAGAAUGUCCACUAGUGGGACUAGAGCAUCACCUUCACCUAUGUUACCAUUCUCAUUCCACUCAAGUGGUGUAGGUGAGGUGGGAAAGACCAAAUGGUGGUCAUCUUCAUCUUGAUGGAACCAUGUGGGGGGUGCAUCAUAUUCCACCAUGGCCAUCGUCAUGUCCGUAGGAAGGACGAAGUUGUCGCGGAUCGACGCGUCAUCAUAUAUGGGACCUAGCACCAAAUGAGAAGACAGAAUAGAGGUAGAGGUCAAGUUGUUAGAAAUGAAAAUGGCCUCACAUGCCCUAUCAACUAUCACACUCUCUCUAUGUGGUGGCUCACUCACUCCCUCCAAAUAGGUGCACUCAAACUCACAUAUGGUGGAGUCACUCAUCUCACUCAAGUGGUGGGGGUUGUGACUCUCCUCACAUGGGAAAUGUGGCAACUCAGCAUAUAUGGGGCUAGUGGUGAAGUCACUCUCACUCUCAAUAUGGUGGCAAAAGUCACUCAAGUCAUCAUACGUCCCCGUGGUCGAAGGGAAAAUCCCAUGCUCAACCAUCUCAUCGUCGUCGCCGUGGAUGAAGGCCGAAGAUGGCACAUCAUCGCUCUCCUCUAUGACCGAAUGGAAAAUACCAUGCUCGAUCAUCUCGUCAUCGUCGCCGUGGAUGAAGGCCGAAGAUGGCACGUCAUCCCUCUCGCCUCCAAAGAUGGAAGCAUCAUCCUUGAUCGCCACCUUGUCGCUCGCGUCCAAAGCUUGGUCCUUGAAGGUCUCCGUAGUCGUAGUCGUCGCCGCACCGUCUUGAAAAAGAGUCGAGGAAGACUCGGCAUCAUCAAUGCCACAAAGAGGGAUGGCGGUGGAGUCGAACUUGGGAGCAUCGUCUUGGAGCUCGUCAGGCUUGGACAUCUUGAUGGUGCUAUCCUCAUGCUCGUUCUCAUGGAGCUUGGUCGUCGCGAAGUGAGCUUGGGGUGGAGAAGCCUUGGCCUUCAUGAGUUCUUGUUCCGCCUUGAGAGCACCAAUGUAGUUGUCGUCGAGGGACUUGUAGUUCUCGAGGAAGAUCGUCUUGGAGAUGUCAUUGUGCAAUCCCAUCAUGAAGUGGAACUUCAUUGACAUGGGGUCGUCCACGCCGGCUCGUCGCAGGGCAAUCUUCAUCUCCUUGAAGUACGCGUCGAUGGACUUGGAUCCUUGGGUGGUGUUCUCCAAUUGGCGUAGAAGUUGUUCCGUGUAGGUUAGAGGCACGAACUCUCGCCUCAAAGCUCUCUUCGUCUUGGGCCAACUCAUGUUGUAGCUCUCUGAAGGUGUGUGAAGCCACCAUGUCGAGGCGUAGUCAUGGAGGUUUCUUCAGGCGCACUUCACUUGAUCUUCGGGAGGAACUUGAUGUAGCUUGAGGUAGUCGUCCAUUAGGCACUCCCACUCGAGAUACUCCUCGGGUUCUUGAGUCCCAUAGAAAGGAAUUGCGUGGCCGAUGUCGAGGUCGUAGUAGCUCAUGGAAGUCGCAGACUUGAGCUUGGGGAGCUUAUCUUGAGUGUAGUCUUGAGGUGCUUGUUGGCGAAGAUGCCGCAUGUCCAAAGGCGAAGAUUCCUUGAAGUCGCUUGGCAAAGAUGCCAAGGUAGAUGGUGAAGUCGUUGAGCGGUUGUUGGUGUUGAGCUCUUGACCUUCACGUACUUGUCGUUGAUGGUGUCGAUGCCGAUGUGACCUUGCCGGAGAUGGUGGCUCGGAAGCAUGUGCACUUGAGCGUCUUCUCGAAGAUAAGGAAGACCUCUUGUAGGACUUGAUGAGGGUUUUGAUCUCCUCCAUUUGAGCUUGCAUCUUGGCGUCAAUGAAGUUUUUCAUGGCAUCGAACUCGUCGUUGUUGUUGUAGACCGAAGGAGGUGUGCUUUGCCUAUCCAUCACAAGACUCGAGCAAAGGGUGAGUAGGAAAUGAGAUAAACAAUACCAAGCUACCUUUUCCCAAAGUUGAGGAUGUAUCCAGUUUCACUCAAUGUGAAAUGAAAGAAUAGUGGAAUUGGUACCGGACUUGCUCACUCACACCUACAAAGUAAAGCUUAUCGAGUGGCUUGGUUAGGACAAGUGGCACAAAAUUUUGAUGCAAAAUGUUAGCAAGAGUCAAUAAUGUUGAAAGAGAUACACAAAUUCGCAAGUGAAACAAGUAGACCAAUAGCAAUGAAAGGCACAUGGAAACGCACGCACGGAUAGAUAAAUGGGGUCGUGCAACCAAGGAGUGAGCACAAAAUGUGGAAUCCACGAAAAACGCUCGUGUUGCACAACUCAAGAGAGACGCUAGCACGAUUGCUCAAUAGGCGGAUACGACACUUGUGCACAACCUAUAAGAUGCAAAAUGGAUAAACUUUCUAUCCCAAGUAUGCUAUUAUGUAUGGUUCCCGGUGUUUAGCACAUGAUGAUCCAAGAUGAUCAAUAUGGUAGUAUGAUAUGCAAUGUGGUGAUGCUAUGGCUCUUGUUUACAAGCUUCUUUGCUCUUUCUCUUUGCUUAAAAGCUUAUUCUGUUUUUUUGUAUGGCCACUAUGCGAAAUGCACAAACCAAGAUAGCAAUUGUGUAUAUGCGGGAACAAUCUUGUGACACAAGAGAUGAUAUGAUGAUACCAAGAUGAUAUGAUAUGUAUGCAAUGGGAGGUACGGAUCACUAAUGUGCACAAGUAACGUUGCCGGCAAUACUCAAAUGGCUAGUCUCGAUAGGCAAGUGACGCAAAAUGGGCUAGGGGUUAAACAAUGCAAUGGCAAGGAGAAUGUAUAAUGAUGUGGUCGAGGUUACCGUCCUUGCUUACGGUAGGGGUGUCAAAAUGAUGAAGUGGUCAAUGUCGAUGACGACCUCGUGGCGAUGAUGAGUGGCAGUGUUCUCAAUGUAGAACCAUUCCUAAUUAUCCGAAACACCUUAGGAAACGGAAAAACCGCAAACUCAAAAUCUCAAAGGAAAAUGUCAAAUGGUGGUAGCGAAAUGCGUUGGUGGUUCCGGAGUUGACAAUGCGGAAGUGGUGGUGGUGGUUGAUGAAGAAGCAACCGUCCCUAAGUAGCCUAAACACCUUAGGAGACUCAAGUCACCACUCAAGCAACCACAAAUGCUAUAUGGAUCAAAAUGGGUUAGGUUGCGGAAAGCUAUGGUGGUUUUAUGGAUGAUAUGGUGGAGGGCCUAGGCAAAGGUGUCAAAAUGUCAAAAAUUUGAUGGAUUCAAUUGAUUUUGGAACACAUCUAGAUGGAUGGGGUAUGUCAAUAGCUACUCAACGAGCUAAAGAACGUCAAAAUCGGACUCCGGAUGUGGAAGAUAUGGCCAAAACAAGAAAUCAGCCGAAGCAGUUUUUGAACUAGCGGACAGUCCGGUCCGGGGUAGCGGACAGUCCGGUCUUCAUCCGAAAACCUUCUGAUUCGAGCGGACAGUCCGGUGUUGGGAGCGGACAGUCCGGUCUAUGAGCGAUUUUGGUCCUGACGCCAGCGGACAGUCCGGUACGGGGGUGCGGACAGUCCGGUGCGGGUCGGGAAGGCACGAAAUUGAAUUUUUUGGGUGGGAAUGGAUGAUUUUGGGGUCAAAAUUGAGGGGAUUUCGUGGAUGGAAGGUGGGGAAACUUGUGGGGAAGCUAGAUCCACUCAAAACACAACGAAUCCAUGGAUCAAAAUCAACAAAACAUCAUCAAACCAACAAAUGACAAAAAAAAUUGGGGCUAUUUUUGGUGGGGAUUUUUGGAUUUUAGGACGAAAUCAAGCAAAUCAAGGCUAGAAAAUGGUGGGGGAGACUCCAAAUUCAUGAUCAACGUGGCUCAUGAUACCAAGAUGUUGUAGGGUGGAACCCUAUGGAGAGAUCUUUCAUGAAUUGGAGGGGGAAUCCCCAAGAACAAUAUGAACACAAGGAGGGAAAACAAGAGGAACACUCAAGAACAUGUCCAAUCACACAUCCACUAGACCAACAAACACACAAGAUCCACAAGGUACAUGAACAAUAAAAGGGGAACAAGAUACAUGGUAGAGUUCAUCCCAAAUCCUAUGAAGGAGAUGAGGGCUUGAUUAUCUAGGUAGAUCCUCCCCCCAAAGGGGAGCUUGCAUCCCUAGGGAUCUUCUCCAAUGGAGGUCUUGUACUCCAAUGGAGUCUUCUCUCUCAAGAGGAAUCCCACAAGGGGAGGUAUAUGAGCUAAGCUCUAUGAUUUGUGUCUAUUCUUAGCUAACCCUAAAAUGGAGGAGAAGGAGGGAUACAUAUAGGUCCAAGGCAAGGAAGGGGUAAGUGAGGGCGAAAGGGUAAAGUUACAUGGGCCUUGCCCAAAUUCGGCCCGCAGAUGCACUACCGGACAGUCCGGUACGGGGGACCGGAAAGUCCGGUGGAAACAUGACUUUUGGGCGUCCAGAAAUUGUACUACCAGACAGUCCGCUUGGGGGACCGGACUGUCCGGUAGUGCAAUUUCUGCACAGACCAAAACUGCUCUCUGGAUGGACCGGCCAGUCCGGUUGGGCGACCGGACAGUCCGGUAGAGCUAAUUUUGCACCGUCUUCUUCCGUUGUCGCUUCCAAGCUUCCCUCGCGGACGGUGUAGGUGUACACUUGCGCUUGCACUCCUCCUCGUCAUCCGUGGUGCUCCGAUGAUACCUAUGAAUGCACACAAGAGGAGUGUCAAGUAGUAUACCAUCCUCGAUGGAGUCAAGUGAACACGUGAAAAGGAGAUGAUUCACCUUUGUGUAUGUGAAGUGGAUGUCGCACGUGUCACUCACCAAACGGACUCUUGACAUGGUGAUGUCUGUAGGAUGCUCCACAUCACCUUCUCAACUAAUCCCUAAAGAAUCAACAAGUUGGAUUGGCUAGGGAGAGAGAUCGGGCGGAAAUGAGCUUGUGAGCAACAAUGGAGCUCGGGGAGGAAGAGGUUAGUCAACUUGGAGAAGAUGACUCCCUUAUAUAGUGGGGGAUGAAAUUCAACCGUUAUGCACCCAUAGCCCGUGCACAAGCGGUAGUACCUCUCAGGUGAGCAGUACUUCCGCUGGCACGGAAGUUCUGACUGUUGCACACAACUGAGCAAGUCAAGGGGGCGGUAGUUCCGCCGGAGCGGUACUACUGCUCCCACCAGCAGUACUUCCGCUUGGUGUUGGGCAACAGCUGGGCCCGCGGUAGUAGAGGGAGGCAGGGCGGUAGUGCCGCCUAGGGCGGUACUUCCGCUCUACUUCCACUCGCGGGGCAGACCAGUCUAGAACGUAGCAAACAAGCGGUACUCCAAGCGACAGAGGCCAGCGGUAGUUCCGCUGGAGCGGUACUACCGCGCCGAGGAGCGAUACUUCCGCUUAGCCUGUCAAUGCCCAGUAAACCUGUGGUAGUAGGGUAGUAGUUAGGCCCACGGUACAACUGGAGCGGUACUACUGCACCGAACUGCCGCUCUACUAUAGCCCAUUUACAGAACGCACAAAACAGGCGGAAGUAGGAACUGCACUACUCUGCGGCAGUACUGCUGGAGCGGUACUACCUCUUAAGCUGUUCUGAAAAGAUCCAAGCAAGAUAGGAAGGACAAGCUCAAGAGCUUGGAAGGAAAGAGGGUGCAAGGAGACAGUGUACGUGAUGAUUCCACCCAAACCUUUCUAAAGUGGACCCCCUCUAUACGGUGAUCCUACGACUCAAGUCCAUCGAAAAUGAAAUGCAAGAAAAACACCAUCUUCGCGAUAGCUCCGAGGGGUUCCUGUCGUCUUGUGUCAAAUGAUGGUUUAUCUGAAAUGCUCGAUGCACACGAUUAGUCCGCAAAUGCAUUGUCAUCAAUCACCAAACCAUUAAGGGAGAAAUAUGCCCUAACAAUCUCCCCCUUUUUGGUGGAUUAAUGACAACACGGGAUUUGCACAAGAAUAAGAUCAGAAAAUAUGGAACCCCAACAUCUACAAAAUAUAAAAAGGCCCCCCCUAGAUGUGAGCACUAUUUGGGUAUGUCUUUGGAAUGCAAAGCACACACACUAGGAUCAACACUCCCCCUAUAUUUUAUAGACCGACACUACUUGCAUCAACAAUAUGAGAUGGAUAAGCAAGGAUGCAAGUAAAUAGCAUAUGAGCAUAAAGAUAGGGCACAAGAUAAACAACAUCUCACAAGCUAAUACGGUACUUGACAUAAAGAGAAAGAUAAGGUAGCAUAUGUCUCACACCAUAUGAUAGAUACUUAAGGUUCCACACAUGAACUUAAAGCAAACCAAACGAAAAAGAGUUCACGAGAGAACGAAAGCAACACCAAAGAAGACACACUUGUGACUUGGCAAAUCCCUAAACUCUCUCUCCCCCUUUGGCAUCGAGACACCAAAAAGGCACAGAGCACUAGACACGUCCAGGGUGAUGGUGAUGCUUCGGAUCGUCAAUACUCCUCGUACUCAUCUGAGACCUCAUGAUCCUCCGACUCCUCUGCUGCUGCUGCUGCUGCCUAACACUCUGCCUCUGAGUUUGACCACUUGCAAUGCUGCGAGAUCCAGUUCUCCUCAUCCGUGACCCGCUCCUCAGAGGCACUAGUGAUUUGCUGAUCCAGGGCCCUCAUCAUGUUCUUAUGGCGAGUGUGAGCAGCCUUCUUAGCCACAUGAGCCCUGUACUAACCCUUGUCCUCCAUGCAGAAAAGCCUCUUCAUCAUCGACUUGAGCUUAGAUGCCCAAGAUGGCACCUUCACCGGAGAAUAAACAAACUCAUAACCGGGCUCCGGCUCAUCAUCAGAGUCAGUGGGAGCAAUCUCCUCACCGGGGGUAGAAGGCACAGUCCCCCAGUUGUCUUUUUGGCGCAGGUUCAAGACUGGAUGAGAUACCAUAUGCUCAAAAGGAAGAGCCUCCCCUGGAAACUCAGCAACCCACUUCUCAUCAAUCACCUUAAACAGAUACGGGCCAUAGAUGGGCACCUUCCGGUCAAGCACAGCAGAACGGAGCUCACGCCGCAUGAUGUGGGAGAUGUCCAAAGUAGAUGUCCUGCCCUUCUCCUUGAUGCACAUUAAGAGAAGAUCCACUAAGUAAGAGUGCACCUGAUCCAGAUUCCCAAUGCGAGGAAAGAGAGUGUUGCGGAAGAUAUGGUGCAUGAUGUCCAAAAACAGAAUGAGCUCCGUGCGAGUCCCCUUGAGAGUCUUCACCGUCCUAGAGUAACGAAUAAGCUUUGACUUGUGCGUGGGAGGUGAGUGCUUGUGUGACCGGAGACCAACUAGGUUGUCUUCUCCCUCAUCAACAAUGCCCAAACAAUCCAUGAAGUCCUUCCAAUCAACCUUGAAUCUCCACCCACAGGUCAUCCAUGUCAUAGAUCUCUCCUCAUUUGCAUGAAAGUGAACCGUGGCAUAGAAUUGAGCCACAAUCUCUGGAUCAUAUAUAGUCCUUGUUGUAUGAGAUGAAGGUAAUGAGUCCCCACUAUUGACAAAGAGCCAGAGCCUCUCCAAAGUACGCCAGGUCCUUCUCCAUCCGAGAGACAUUAGUAGACUUGACGGACACAAACAAGUUCUUCUUGGCCUUCAGAAUGUCAAGGUAGAUCAACGAUUGCUCCUUGGUCCAGAAGGGACAACCAACAAGAGCCUCAUCUCGAGGACGGCGAUAUGGAUAGCGAAUGCGGAACACCUCAAACUCCUUUGCAGUCAUCUCACCAGGAGGGGUGUACUUCUCCUUCUCCUUCUGCUUAUUGGUUGUCGUCUUCACAUUUUGCCUGGGAGGACCACUAGAACUGGCAGGAGUGCCAUCUGUAGUACAGUAGCGCUUGGAACUACCCGGACGCCCUGGGUUCUUGCGACGAGCAUGAUGAACGGAGCUACCAAAAUCUUGGCAAAGACUACUAUACUCUUAUCUAGCAGUCAUCCUGCAUCCUACUCAUGCCUAGAUUUAGCCAAAAAUAUAUGAAUACCACAUGCAUUGCCCUAGAACCAAGAUUCAAAAAAUAUAACCGUAAGAGAGGAAAAUGAGGGCAAUACUGGUACCCAUGGCAAGAGGAGAAGGUGGGGAUCGAUCCCACCGGUCAGAAACGGAGAAGACGACACGGAUUCAGAGGGCCAGAGCCGGCCUCCGGAGCAGUUUUGGAUCGCCUAAGAGAGAGAACACGAGAGGAGAGGAAAUGAAUGGGUAUGGGGGAGCGGUAGUACUGCACCCCAUAGCGGUAGUACUGUACCCCAUAGCGGUAGUACUGCCCCAGUGCUUUUGAUAGGGGAUCGUCACACUGUACUCAUCGGUAUUACUGUAGGCCUGUGCGGUAGUACCGCCUGAGUGGUAGUGUCGUGCCUGCCAACGGUAGUAUCAGUUGCUACCAGAAAACUACAAUGGAUCAAAAAGGGAAUAUGUGCUUGUGCAAUUCUAAGAGGUUUGAGGAGGGGAAGGCUUAGGUUGGAGACAAGAAAACACAUCAAAUGGAAAGGAUUACUCCAAGGUCAAAAACAACAAAAAGGAAAGCACACUUGGAGUAGUCCAACAACCGAAAGCGAAAGACACGAGAGCACACCUCAAACCAAACGGAGCCAACCCUCUCAAAGAGCGGGCGGUGACCGAGAUCACCUAUGUUUGAGUUACUUGGUAUGGCACCGCAGAGAUUUUAACCUUGGGCCCAUGACCAAAACUCAUAUUUGAAGCACAAGUACCAUCAAGAAUGGCUAAUGUGAAAGACUUGAUCAAUCUAUGAAUAAUGUGGGGAGGGAGAGUUCAUUGAGAGAACAACACUCCCCCUAUGUCCAUGCCUACAUCUAGAACAAGAUAAUAUGAUGAAUGCGGUGCGGUGUGCCUAGAUUCAAGCCACAUUGCUCAAAUCAAUGAUAUUUUGCUCAUGCCUUAACUCAUGAAAUCUUUCUUCAUCUAAAGGCUUCAUGAAAAUAUCCGCUAAUUUCUCUUGAGUGUUGAUGUAGAUGAUCUCAAUCUCCCCACGCUUUAUGUGAUCCCGAAUGAAAUGAUGACGGAUCUCAAUAUGCUUCGUCUUGCUAUGUUGCAUCUGAUUGUAGGAGAUCCUUAUGCCACUUUCAUUGUCACAUAGAAGAGGCACUUUGUCACAAGUGACACCGUAAUCUUUUAAAGUUUGCCUCAUCCAUAGCAAUUGUGCACAACAACUCGCAGCGGCUACAUACUCGACCUUGGUGGUGGAGAGAGACACAUAGUUUUGCUUCUUUGAUGACCAACUCACCAAAGAGUGACCAAGUAGUUGGCACCCUCUAGAAAUUGACUUCCUAUCCACAACGCCUCCAGCCCAAUCCGAGUCUGAAUACCCCAUGAGAUCAAAGCUUGUUCCUUUGGGGUACCAUAGGCCAAAGUUUGGGGUAUGAGCUAAAUAUCGAAAGAUUCGCUUAACCGCCACAUGGUGACUUUCCUUAGGUGCGGCUUGGAACCUUGCACACAUUCCUACACUCAACAUAAUAUCCGUUCUAGAUGAACAAAGGUAAAGCAAGGAUCCAAUCAUGGAGAAAUAUACCUUUUGAUCCACCGCUUAACCAUUGGGAUCAAUGUCAAGCUUGCAUUUGGUUGGCAUUGGAGUCUUAGCCGGCUUGACAUCAUCUAGUUUGAAUCUCUUGAGCGUGUCUUGGGUAUAUUUGGCUUGAUUGAUGAAAGUCCCUUCUCUUCUUUGCUUGACUUUGAACCCGAGAAAGAACUUCAACUCCACCAUCAUAGACAUCUCAAACUUCUCGGUCAUGAGUGUGAAAAACUCAUCAUUGAAAGCUUUGUUAGGAGAACAAAAAAUAAUAUCAACAACAUAUAGUUGGCAUAUGAACAAGUCCCCUUUAACCAUCUUUGUAAAAAGAGUGGGAUCUAUUUUCCCAAUUUCAAACCCACGGUCUUGCAACAACUCGGUAAGGUGCUCAUACCACGCACGUGGGGCUUGUUUAAGGCCAUAGAGUGCCUUAUCGAGUUUAUGCAUAUGCAAGCAACAUGCGAAUAGAUUCAAGGCGAGCAACGGGAGCAAAGGUUUCACCGUAGUCGAUGCCCUCGACUUGGGAGUAGCCUUGUGCUACCAAUAUUGCCUUGUUGCGAGUGACUACACUGUUCACAUCUUUCUUGUUCUUGAAGGUCCAUUUGGUCCCGAUGACAUUAUGAUUAUCCUUUGGCCUUGGCACCAAUUGACACACCUUGUUGCGCUCAAAGUUGUUGAGUUCAUCAUGCAUGGCUUCAAGACAAUCCGGUCCUCGAGCGCCUCAUGUACCUUUUGGGGUUCAAUACAAGAAACAAACGUGUGAUGCUCACAAAAGUUUGUUAAUUGUCUACGAGUGGUUACCCCUUUUCUUAAGCUUCCAAGCACAUUCUCCGUGACAUGUUGUUGGUGCUUGGGCUUGGAAGCAACUUUGGCGGCUCCGAGCUCCAAUAGCUCCUCAAUAGGAAUUUGAGGAUCGUCAUCUUGAUCAUAUUGAGCACCGUCUUGAGCUUGCUCUUGAUCUUGAGCCUCCUCUUGAUCUUAUCUUGCUUGGAGUCAUGAACUUGAUCUUGAGCAUCACUUGGUGGAUCACCAUCAUCAUGGGUUGGAUGUUGCCCUUGAUCUUGUUCACUUGGUUGAGGGCCUUCACUUUGUUCUUACGAAGCGUGUGGAUCCAGUGUCGAUGAUGGGUCCACAUGAGUAGAGCAUUAUCCUUCACCUUUGGCCAUAAGGGGUUUCUCAAUGGGUAGUAUUUGACCAAUCCUCAUUCUUCUUAUGGCUUGAGGAGUAAUUUCAUCACCUAUAUCACAAAGACCACUUUGCUCCACUUGGGAGCCAUUAUUUUCAUCAAACUCCAUGUUACACGUCUCCUCAAUGAGUCCGGUGGACUUGUUAAGGGCACGAUAAGCAUGAGAGUUUGUAGCAUAACCAACAAAUAUGCCCUCUUGAGCUCUAGGUUCAAAUUUAGACAAACAGACACCUUUCUUGAGGAUGAAACACUUACAACCAAACACUCGAAAGUACUUGAGGUUGGGCUUGUUACCGGUAAAUAUCUCAUAUGGAGUCUUGUUCAAGCCUUUGCAGAGGUAGAGCCGAUUGGAUGCAUGACAUGCGGUGUUGAUGGCUUCGGCCCAAAAGUAGUACGGAGAUUUGAAUUCUGCCAUCAUGGUCCUUGCCGCGUCCAUCAAUGUCCGGUUCUUCCUCUCCGCUACACCAUUUUUUGAGGGGUAUAUGGUGCAGAGUAUUGAUGUUUGAUCCCCUCAUCACUAAGAAACUCCUCCAAGGUGUAGUUCUUGAACUUGGUGCUGUUGUCACUUCGAAUCAUCAAAAUCCUUGCUUCAUAUUGACGUUGAGCUUCAUUUGCAAAGUCGAUGAUGGUUUGUUGAGUCUCACUCUUCUUCUUGAAGAAGUAUACCCAUGUAUAUCUUGAGUAAUCAUCCACAAUCACCAAGCAAAACUUUCUCCCUCCAAGGAUAUCGUAAGAUGGAGGACCAAAGAGAUCCAUGUGGAGGAGCUCCAAGGGCCUCUUCGAGUAGAUGAUAGUUGAGGGUUGGUGAGCCGUCUCAUGUAACUUUCCUUCGAUACAAGCACUGCAAGCACGGUCUUUGGCAAAACUCACAUUUGUUAGUCCAUGAACAUGGUCUCCCUUGAGAAUACUUUGCAAAGAUCUCAUAUUGACAUGGGCUAGUCAGUGAUGCCAAAGCCAACCCACAUCAACUUUAGCCAUUAGGCAAGUCGCGGUCUUAGUGGGUCGCUCCGAGAAGUUAACCACAUAGAGACCGUUCUUGACGUGCCCAACAAAAGCUACUUUACGAGUCUUGCUCCACAAAAGGGCCACGGUACCAAGAUCAAAGAAUGUUGCAAAUCCCAUAAGUGCAAGUUGACGAAUGGAAAGUAAAUUGUAUGCAAGGGACUCAACAAGAAUGACCUUCUCAAUAGAUAAAUCUUGAGAGAUGACCACCUUGCCAAGACCCAAUACCUUAUAAGUUGAAGCAUCACCGAAUUGGACAUGAGUGGGCAUAGAUGGAAUAGGUUGUACAUCCUCCACCAAGUCAUUGAUCCCGGUUAUAUGAUUUGUUGCUCCACUAUCGAGCAACCAUGACACCCCAUCGGAAGCAAACUCCUACAAGGGAUCAAUGCUUGGAUUUAGCUACCCAUUUUUGAAUGGGUCCUUUGAGGUUAGCAACAAGGGUCUUAGGAACCCAAAUAGACCAUUCAAUUUACUCGUAAGAAGAGCCAUUUUUUUUGGCAUAAACAUUGUAACACCCCGAGAAUCAUGCUACAGUAACCCUCUGUGAUUAAGCUAAUCAUGUUGCUAAACAGGGCUUGAUCACAUUUGGAACACAUUUCUUUUCAAACUCCUAAUUCAAACUUCAAUUAAAUUUAAAGUGGAAAAUAAAAGUUUUCAAAAAUUUAAACAAAAAUGUUCGGUGGGUGCCAAAUAAUACACUGGUAAUUAUGGUGGAGAAAACACAUUUUUAUAAAGUACCUAAAUACUUUUAAAUGAAAUAAAACAGAAAAGAAAAUAAACAAAUAAAAAGAAAAUGCAAAAGAACACAGACAAAGAAAAAGAAAAAGGAGAAGGCCCUCCCCCACAGCACCCCUGGCCCAACUGGGCCGACCCCCGGCCCAGCCCACCUCUCCCACUCGCCCUCCUUCCCUGUUCCCCCGACCAGGGUCGGAACAGGGGCCGGUCCCCGCCGCACCACCUCGCCGGCGACGGGGAGGAUAAGGGCGCCAGCACCCCCCCGCCUCCUCGGGCCUCUCUCCCACUCGCCCCCGCUCUCCUCUCGGCCUCUGCGCCUCUCUCUUCCCCCCCAGAUCCGCGCCGCUCCUUCCUUCCCCACGCCCGACGCGGUCGCCGCCGUUCACCGUCGUUCACACGGCCACCGUACCCACCUCGCCGCCCCAAGGUGUCUCCAAGGACCGCCGUCGCCCGCUGCUUCGUCUGGUGCAGCCCGUUGGAGACCGGAGCCCCUGCAACGACCUCCCCGAGCUCGUCUUCAACUUCGGACGCCGGCGACCCCCCUUCUUCCCCGGCGCCGACCUGCUGCUCCUAAGCCUCUCACCGGCCUCCGUGUGCCGCGCGGUGAGCCUCUCCCCCUCCUCCCCUGUCCUUUCUCUCUCGCGCGCCCCGUAGCUGCUUCCCCACGCGCGCCCGAACGCCGCGCCGCGGAGCUCGCCGCCGGCAAGGCUCCGGUGACCUUUUGGUCACGGGCUCAAGCCCGUUGCACUCCCCACCUCGCGUAGAUGCCCCCCAGCCCCUCCGCUUGCUCGAUAGCCCGCCGUAGCCUCGUUUCCAUCGGGCACCCGUGCGCGCCGCCGCCUCCGCCACUCGCCGGCGUCGAUUCCGGCCAAGUCCGGCGAAGCCCCGGCCACCACUGGAUGCGGCGCUGCGAGCUCUUUCGAAUGGGCCUAGCCCCGCUCCUCCCCGAGCCCCGUAGCGCGAUUCCGGCCAACUCCGGCGAGGGGCCGCCGCUGUUUUGGUCGCCGGAGUCGCUCCGGCGCCGGCCGCCGACGUGGCUGGCCUGGGGCCACCCCAGUGCCACUGCCAGUGGGCCCCGUGGGCCCCGUUGACUGGGUCAACCCAGUCAACGUGUUGACUGGGCAGACCCAGCCACUGACAUGCGGGCCCCGCCGCAAAAUUAAAAAAAAAGAGAAAAGAAAAUGUUUUUAUAAUUAAAACUAAUUAAUUAAUCUAAUCACUCACUGACAGGUGGGCCCAGUAGUUAAUUAACUAAAAAUUAAUUAGUUUAAUCUUCUGUUAGCCCACUGUCUAUCACAGGUGGGGCCCACUGGUCAGUUUGACCUGGUCAGCCGCUCUGUUGACCUGCUGACGUCAGCAUUGCCUCAUGCUGACGUCAUAAUUCAUUUUUGCUUAAUUCAAAUAAUUCCAGAAAUUCAAAUAAACUUUGAAAAUUCAUAUCUUUUAAACCGUAACUCGGAUGAAAAUGUUUUCUAUAUGAAAGUUGCUCAGAACGACGAGACGAAUCCGAAUACGCAGUCCGUUCGUCCACCACACCUUCCUAACCUAUCGAACUAGCAACUUUCCCCCUUCGGUCCAUCUGUCCGAAAACGCGAAACAUCGGGAAUACCUCCCGGUUGUUUCCCCCCUUCACCGGUACCAUCUACUGUCGCGUUAGGUCACACCUAGCACCGCUCGUUUUCAUGUCACGCAUCGUCAUGCUUAUGUUUGCAUUGUAUUUACUGUUUCUUCCCCCUCUUCUCUCCGGUAGACUACGAGACCGACACUGCUGCUGCCCAGUUCGACUACGGAGUCGACGACCCCUCCUACUUGCCAGAGCAACCAGGCAAGCCCCCCCCCUUGAUCACCAGAUAUCGCCUACUCUUCUCUAUUCUGCUUGCAUUAGAGUAGUGUAGCAUGUUACUGCUUUCGAUAUCCUAUCCUGAUGCAUAGCCUAUCCUUGCUACUACUGUUGUUACCUUUACCUGCAAUCCUACAUGCUUAGUAUAGGAUGCUAGAUUUCCAUCAGUGGCCCUACAUUCUUGUCCGUCUGCUGUGCUAUACUAUCGGGCCGUGAUCACCUGGGCGUGAUCACGGGUAUAUACUUAUAUACUAUAUACAUGACACAUGAGAUGACUAAAGUCGGGUCGGCUCGUAGGAGUACCCGCGAGUGGAUCUUUGUGGCGGAGCGACAGGGCAGGUUGAGACUGCCUAGGUGAGAGGUGGGCCCGGCCCUGGUCGGCGUUCGCGGUUACUUAACACGCUUAACGAGAUCUUGGUAUUUGAUCUGAGUCUGGCCAUUUGGUCUAUACGCACUAACCAUCUACGUGGGAGUAGUUAUGGGUAUCCCGACGUCGUGGUAUCAGCCGAAGCUCUUUUGACGUCAGCAACUGAGUGGCGCGCGCCGCAUUGGACCGUAAGCUCGCGCUUGUAUUAAGGGGGCUAGGUCUGCUUCCGGCCGCGUACGCAACGUGCAGGUGUGCAUAGGGCGAUGGGCCCAGACCCCUGCGCGCAUAGGUUUAGACCGGCGUGCUGACCUCUCUGAUGAGCCUAGGUGGGGCUGCGACGUGUUGAUCUUACGAGGCCGGGCAUGACCCAGAAAAGUGUGUCCGGCCAACUGGGAUCGAGCGUGUUGGGUUAUGUGGUGCACCCCUGCAGGGAAGUUUAUCUAUUCGAAUAGCCGUGUCCCUCGGUAAAAGGACGACCCGGAGUUGUACCUUGACCUUAUGACAACUAGAACUGGAUUCUGAAUAAAAUACACCCUUCCAAGUGCCAGAUACAACCCGGUGAUCGCUCUCUAACAGGGCGACGAGGAGGGGAUCGCCGGGUAGGAUUAUGCUAUGCGAUACUACUUGGAGGACUUCAAUCUACUCUCUUCUACAUGCUGCAAGAUGGAGAUGACCAGAAGCGUAGUCUUCGACAGGACUAGCUAUCCCCCUUUUAUUCUGGCAUUCUGCAGUUCAGUCCACUGAUAUGCCCCUUUACACAUAUACCCAUGCAUAUGUAGUAUAGCUCCUUGCUUGCGAGUACUUUGGAUGAGUACUCACGGUUGCUUCUCUCCCUCUUUCCCCCUUUCCUGUCUAUCUGGUUGUCGCAACCAGAUGUUGGAGUCCAGGAGCCAGACGCCACCGUCGACGACGACACCUACGACACUGGAGGUGCCUACUACUACGUGCAGGCCGCUGACGACGACCAGGAGUAGUUAGGAGGAUCCCAGGCAGGAGGCCUGCGCCUCGUUCGAUCUGUACCCCAGUUUGUGCUAGCCUUCUUAAGGCAAACUUGUUUAACUUAUGUCUGUACUCAGAUAUUGUUGCUUCCGCUGACUCGUCUAUGAUCGAGCACUUGUAUUCGAGCCCUCGAGGCCCCUGGCUUGUAUUAUAAUGCUUGUAUGACUUAUUUAUGUUUUAGAGUUGUGUUGUGAUAUCUUCCCGUGAGUCCCUGAUCUUGGUCGUACGCAUUUGCGUGCAUGAUUAGUGUACGGUCAAAUCGGGGGCGUCACAAGUUGGUAUCAGAGCCGACUGCAUGUAGGAAUCCCCCUUUCCACUCUCCUUGGCCGAAGUCGAGUCUAGACAUUACGAAAACUUUUACUAACAUGGCUGUGUGUCUUACGGGCCCACGUCGCCAUUGGGUGGUACUAGGAUCUUUUACUCCUCGACCUUUACUCUGGGACUCUGAACUCUCUUCUACUCGGGUUAAACGAAUUUACUAACUCUAACACUAGGAUCCCGUGACCGUAUUCACCCCAAAGUUGGAUAAGCCAUAGUUGUUUCUUAGAAUAGUAUUUUGAACAAUUCACGCACUGUCAUUUGACUCCUUUGAAACGUCUUUGCUUUCAGAUGGAACCCUCGAGGCAGGUCGUGCGCCACACGACGGCCAUUGGUGCCUCGGGAUCACCUGCGGUGCUAGCUGAGAUGAUGACCUAUCUGGGUUAUCGCUGGCACCCUGAGUACACCGUCUACGAGGAGUACCAGGACUUUAACCAGGAGCUGUACCGUGCCAUCGUCCACCUCUACUCUCGGGAGUAUGACUCCACUACUGUGCUGCACACCGCACAUGGUGUUGGUGUGACCAUCGAUAUGGCUGUCCACGAUGCUGCCUAUGCUGCUCUGACACGUCUUCAUGGAGAGUAUCAGGAGUUGGACACCUCCCCUUUCAGGCACAUUGCUAUCGCAUCUGAUGUUGGUGCGGAGGGAUACUAUACUGCUGCCUACUCCACUGUCACCCGAGAGCCCUUCUACCAUCAGCACCUGGUUCUGCAUGCUGAUGGGCUGGAUCGAGCUAACCGAGCUCUUCGCCACGAGAUGUACACCACCCGUCAGCACCUUUACCGUGCUCUGACGCUGCUGCACCCCUUUGUCCGAUCUGGACAGGUACCGCGUACUGCGAUCUACCCAGCCAGGACCGUGAUGCCCCACGGUGUCGGUUGGCCAGAGGUGGGAGGCUACUCUCCCGCACUUGGUCCUCUUCUGCCACCUGAGCGUCGGGCUCUACACCUGAGUAUCCGCGGCCCCCAGUCUGCUGACGUGGAGGGCUAUCCGUUGCCUCACUACCAGCUGUCGGGCUACGAUUACCUCCAUAGUACCUCUUGGGACUGAUGUAGUCUUGCUUAGUUAGUAUUAGUUGCAGUCGCCGCGAGCCUGUGUGCCGCCUAUGAUGUUUUAGUCUAUGUACUGAACUCUAUGUACUGAACUCUGUGCAUGACCCCUUUUGUAAGUUAUGACGACUACUAUGUAGUAGCUAUCGUGCUCCUUUCAUUAUGCAUGUUUCAUCAUGAAUGAUUCUUGUCUUAGCACAUAUUCUCAAUGCUGAACUACCCCUGUUAUAUAUUAGCAGGAUGGUUAGACCAGGUGGUCGUGGUCGUGGUGGCGAUGCCCCACCACCACCUGAGUACAUGGCUGGUAUGAUCCAACAGUUUGAACUGAACCGCCAAUUCAUGGAAAAUAUGAUGGCUCAGUUUCCUCGCCCCAAUAUGAACCAGCAGCCAGCUCAAGUGACUCUUCAAGAUUUCAUACGCCUCAACCCAACCAUCUACCGCAGCUCAACUCAGCCUCUGGAUGCUGAUGACUGGCUCCGUGACAUCACCUAUGAGAUGGAGUCUGCUGAUGUAGCCCCUGCCAGCUAUGUCACCUUUGCUUCCUUCUUCUUGAAGGGACCCGCAGCUCAAUGGUGGGACAGCCACAGGCGUACUCUGCCAACUGGAACAAUCAUCACCUGCCCAGACUUCCAAGCAGCUUUCCGUGCCCGCUUCAUUCCUCAAGGAGUCAUGGACCGGAAGAAGCGUGAGUUCCGCAACCUCACCCAAGGCAACAAAACUGUCGAAGCUUAUCAGCGGGAGUUUCUGGACUUGUCCCGCUAUGCUGAAGAAGACAUUGCAACUGAUGCACGCAGACAGGAGAAGUUCCGUGAUGGCCUUCAAGCUGACAUCAAGCUCGCACUUCUAGUGCAUGACUUUGCUGAUUUCGCCACCUUGGUGAACAAGGCCAUCAAUGUCAAAACUGGUCUGCAGGAAUAUCAGAGCUCUCACAGACGCAACCGUGACACGGGCUCAUCUUCGGGCUUGCCCGCACAGAAGCGUAAGAUAUGGAUCCCGAACAGCAUGUACCGUCCAAAUGCUUCUGCCCCAAGGCAGACAUAUGCUACACCUCGUCUGCCUCCACCACCAUCUAGGCAGUCAAGACUUCCAGCUCCACCGUCUCAAGCCCCUGUUCCCACUCCCAAUAAUGGUCUGUGCUACAAGUGUGGACAACCAGGUCACCGUGCCAGGGACUGCCAUCAGAAUCAGAAUCAACUUGCCCUCCCAGCAACGGGCCGUGGUAACAACCAGCCCCGCAACAACAAUGCUAAGCCUUAUGGUCGUGCUCAUGCCAACCACGUUGAUCUCAACGAAGCUCAAGACCAGCCUGCUACUGUGAUGGGUACACUCCUCGUAAAUUCAGUACCAGCAUCCGUUUUAUUUGAUACAGGUACAUCGCAUUCAUUCAUGUCAGAAGAUUUUGCAUACAAGCACGACGUUAAAUGUGAGGAGAUGAACACCUCUGUAUUGGUCAAAACCCCCGUGGGACAGUGUCAAACCUCCUUGGUUGGCAUCGAUGUCCCCGUGGAAAUCGAAGGGCUGGAAUUCUAUGCCUCUCCCAUUAUCCUGAAGUCGUCUAACAUCGGCCUCAUUUUGGGUAUGGAUUGGCUGAAAGCGCAUACUGCUUCUAUAGUAUGCGCCACUAAAACCGUCCAUCUGCUACACCCUUCAGAUGAAAUAGUUGCUUACCAAGCUAAUCUGGUGCAAAAUGCCGAGGCAAGGCUCUAUGCAUUGAAUGCAUUGAACGCUGCACCACUCGAGGGCAUUGAAAACAUUCCCGUCGUGCGUGAAUUCCUCGACGUCUUCCCUGAAGAACUUCCAGGGAUUCCCCCUGCUAGAGCUGUCGAAUUCAUCAUCGACUUGAAACCAGGCACCACUCCUAUAGCCAAGCGACCCUACAAAAUGCCACCGCAUGAACUCCUUGAGCUUAAGGAGGAAAUCGAAAAAUCUCUUCACAAAGGAUUCAUUCGCCCAAGUUGCUCUCCUUGGGGAGCACCUUCUCUCUUUGUCAAGAAGAAGGAUGGGACUAACCGAUUGGUUCAAGACUACCGUCCUAUAAACCAAGCUACCAUUCAGAAUAAAUACCCUCUUCCUCGGAUCAAUGAUCUGUAUGAUCAACUGGCGGGUUCGUCAGUGUUCUCUAAGCUCGACUUGAGGUUGGGCUACCACCAGAUCCGUGUUCGCGAAGAGGAUAUCCCAAAGACCGCCUUCGUGACUCGCUAUGGGUCAUACGAGUACACCGUCAUGUCUUUCGGUUUAACCAAUGCUCCAGCCACCUUCUCUCGUCUGAUGAACUAUAUAUUCAUGGAUUACCUCGACAAGUUCGUCGUGGUUUAUCUGGAUGACAUCCUGGUAUUUUCCAAGAACGAAGAAGAACAUGCUGAACAUCUUUGACUUGUGCUGGAAAAGCUACGAGAACAUCAACUAUAUGCCAAGUUCUCCAAAUGUGAAUUCUGGCUACCGGAAGUAACCUAUCUUGGGCAAGUCAUCUCUAAGGAUGGUAUUGCCGUCAACCCCGAGCGAGUUCAGGCUAUUCUUGAUUGGACUCCUCCCAAGAACGUUAAGCAAGUCAGAAGUUUUCUCGGUCUCGCUAGCUAUUGCCGUCGAUUCGUCGAGAACUUCUCUAAGAUCGCCAGGCCUCUGACUAACCUAUUGCAUAAGGGUGUCAAGUUCCAAUGGACAGACAAAUGUCAGGAAAGUUUCCAGGCACUCAAAGACAAGUUGACUUCUGCCCCAGUUCUAGCUCCACCUGAUACUAAGAAGGACUUCGUCAUUUACUGCGACGCUUCCCGUCAAGGAUUAGGCUGUGUCCUAAUGCAAGACCACAAAGUGAUUGCUUAUGCCUCUCGGCAAUUGCGCCCUCACGAAGAGAACUACCCAGUUCACGACCUCGAACUUGCUGCUGUCAUUCAUGCGCUGAAGCAGUGGCGACAUUACCUUCUCGGUAAUCAUUGCGAGAUCUUCACUGACCACCAAAGUCUGAAAUAUCUGUUUACUCAGCCAGAUCUGAACCUCCGUCAACAGAGAUGGAUGGAGCUUGUUGCAGACUUUGACUUGGGUAUUUCCUAUACGCCAGGCAAGGCUAAUGUAAUGGCUGAUGCCUUGAGCCACAAGUCUUACUGCAACCACCUCCAGGUUCACAAAGUUCAGCCCUCGCUUGUUGAAGAAUUCAGGAAGCUGAACCUCCAUAUUGUUCCUCCGGGUGCCCUCGCUCCCCCUCCUAAGGAGUUUGGCAAGGUGAACCUCCACGUUGUUACCCAGGGUUCCCUCAAUACCCUAGUUGCUACACCAGAUCUCGUGGAUAGCAUCAAAAGGCUACAGAAGUAUGACUCUGAAGCCCACAAGAUUAAGCGCUACCUCGCAGAAGGAAAGCCCUCAUUCUUCAUCAUUGCUGAAGAUGGCACCCUAUACUUCAAGGGCCGCCUAGUGGUGCCAUGUGCAGAGAAAAACCUGGAUAUGACACAGGAAGUUAUGAAAGAAGCUCAUGAUACGCCUCUAUGUAUCCACCCUGGUAGUACAAAGAUGUACCAAGACAUCCGUCAGAGAUUCUGGUGGUCUAAUAUGAAGCAAGCCAUUGCUCGUUAUGUUGCAGAGUGUGACGUUUGCCGUCGUAUCAAAGCAGAACAUCAAAGGCCUGCUGGAACUCUGCAACCUAUCUCUAUUCCUGAAUGGAAAUGGGACCAUGUUGAGAUGGACUUCGUCACUGGAUUUCCCAAAUCACAGAAAGGUAAUGAUGCUAUUCUUGUCGUCAUUGACCGGCUUUCCAAAGUUGCACAUUUCCUGGCAGUCAAAGAAACGAUCACUGCUAGCCAGUUGGCAACGCUCUAUAUGUCCAGGAUUGUUUCACUCCACGGUAUUCCAUUGGUUAUCAGCUCAGACCGUGGCAGCUUAUUCACUUCAAGAUUCUGGGCAAGUUUCCAAGAAGCUAUGGGAACUCAUCUGUCAUUCAGUACUGCGUUUCAUCCUCAAUCGCAAGGACAAGUUGAACGCGUCAACCAAGUUCUCGAAGACAUGCUUCGAGCUUGCGUUAUUUCCUUCGGCAAGAAAUGGGAGGAAUCUCUCCCGUAUGCUGAGUUCUCUUAUAAUAAUAGCUAUCAAGCUAGUCUGAAGAUGGCCCCCUUCGAAGUGUUAUAUGGACGAAAGUGCCGAACCCCUCUGAACUGGUCAGAAACUGGGGAACGUCCACUCUUCGGCCCGGAUAUUAUCCAAGAUGCCGAAGAACAAGUCCGCAUUAUUCGCGAGAAUCUCAAGACUGCUCAGUCACGUCAGAAGAGUCAGUAUGACCGUCAUCAUAAAGACAUGGUCUAUCAACCUAGCGAAAAGGCUUAUCUUCGAGUCACACCUAUGAAGGGUGCUCACCGCUUCGAGAUCAAGGGCAAACUAGCUCCUCGCUAUAUUGGCCCAUUCACUAUUCUCGAAAGGCGUGGAAAAGUGGCAUACCAACUGGAGCUACCGCCGAACCUUUCUCAGGUUCACGAUGUGUUCCAUGUGUCGCAGCUCCGCCGUUGCUUCAAGGACCCAAUCCGAGCUGUGGAUCAUGAAGUGCUCGAAUUGCAGCAAGACCUCUCCUAUAAGGAGCAUCCGAUCCGCAUUCUCGACCAAGCUGAACGCCGCACACGUCAGAAGGCGAUCAAGUUUCUCAAAGUCCAGUGGUCGCACCAUUCUGAAGAUGAGGCCACUUGGGAACGAGAGGAUCGUCUGCGCGAAGAAUACCCCGCACUGUUUCCUUCUACCUCCUAAAUCUCGGGACGAGAUUUCUUGUAGUGGAGGAGAUUUGUAACACCCCGAGAAUCAUGCUACAGUAACCCUCUGUGAUUAAGCUAAUCAUGUUGCUAAACAGGGCUUGAUCACAUUUGGAACACAUUUCUUUUCAAACUCCUAAUUCAAACUUCAAUUAAAUUUAAAGUGGAAAAUAAAAGUUUUCAAAAAUUUAAACAAAAAUGUUCGGUGGGUGCCAAAUAAUACACUGGUAAUUAUGGUGGAGAAAACGCAUUUUUAUAAAGUACCUAAAUACUUUUAAAUGAAAUAAAACAGAAAAGAAAAUAAACAAAUAAAAAGAAAAUGCAAAAGAACACAGACAAAGAAAAAGAAAAAGGAGAAGGCCCUCCCCCACAGCACCCCUGGCCCAACUGGGCCGACCCCCGGCCCAGCCCACCUCUCCCACUCGCCCUCCUUCCCUGUUCCCCCGAUCGGGGUCGGAACAGGGGCCGGUCCCCGCCGCACCACCUCGCCGGCGACGGGGAGGAUAAGGGCGCCAGCACCCCCCCGCCUCCUCGGGCCUCUCUCCCACUCGCCCCCGCUCUCCUCUCGGCCUCUGCGCCUCUCUCUUCCCCCCCAGAUCCGCGCCGCUCCUUCCUUCCCCACGCCCGACGAGGUCGCCGCCGUUCACCGUCGUUCACACGGCCACCGUACCCACCUCGCCGCCCCAAGGUGUCUCCAAGGACCGCCGUCGCCCGCUGCUUCGUCUGGUGCAGCCCGUUGGAGACCGGAGCCCCUGCAACGACCUCCCCGAGCUCGUCUUCAACUUCGGACGCCGGCGACCCCCCUUCUUCCCCGGCGCCGACCUGCUGCUCCUAAGCCUCUCACCGGCCUCCGUGUGCCGCGCGGUGAGCCUCUCCCCCUCCUCCCCUGUCCUUUCUCUCUCGCGCGCCCCCUAGCUGCUUCCCCACGCGCGCCCGAACGCCGCGCCGCGGAGCUCGCCGCCGGCAAGGCUCCGGUGACCUUUUGGUCACGGGCUCAAGCCCGUUGCACUCCCCACCUCGCGUAGAUGCCCCCCAGCCCCUCCGCUUGCUCGAUAGCCCGCCGUAGCCUCGUUUUCGUCGGGCACCCGUGCGCGCCGCCGCCUCCGCCGCUCGCCGGCGCCGAUUCCGGCCAAGUCCGGUGAAGCCCCGGCCACCACUGGAUGCGGCGCUGCGAGCUCUUUCGAAUGGGCCUAGCCCCGCUCCUCCCCGAGCCCCGUAGCGCGAUUCCGGCCAACUCCGGCGAGGGGCCGCCGCUGUUUUGGUCGCCGGAGUCGCUCCGGCGCCGGCCGCCGACGUGGCUGGCCUGGGGCCACCCCAGUGCCACUGCCAGUGGGCCCCGUGGGCCCCGUUGACUGGGUCAACCCAGUCAACGUGCUGACUGGGCAGACCCAGCCACUGACAUGCGGGCCCUGCCGCAAAAUUAAAAAAAAAGAGAAAAGAAAAUGUUUUUAUAAUUAAAACUAAUUAAUUAAUCUAAUCACUCACUGACAGGUGGGCCCAGUAGUUAAUUAACUAAAAAUUAAUUAGUUUAAUCUUCUGUUAGCCCACUUUCUAUCACAGGUGGGGCCCACUGGUCAGUUUGACCUGGUCAGCCGCUCUGUUGACCUGCUGACGUCAGCAUUGCCUCAUGCUGACGUCAUAAUUCAUUUUUGCUUAAUUCAAAUAAUUCCAGAAAUUCAAAUAAACUUUGAAAAUUCAUAUCUUUUAAACCGUAACUCGGAUGAAAAUGUUUUCUAUAUGAAAGUUGCUCAGAACGACGAGACAAAUCCGAAUACGCAGUCCGUUCGUCCACCACACCUCCCUAACCUAUCGAACUAGCAACUUUCCCCCUCCGGUCCGUUUGUCCGAAAACGCGAAACAUCGGGAAUACCUCCCGGUUGUUUCCCCCCUUCACCGGUACCAUCUACUGUCGCGUUAGGUCACACCUAGCACCGCUCGUUUUCAUGUCACGCAUCGUCAUGCUUAUGUUUGCAUUGUAUUUACUAUUUCUUCCCCCUCUUCUCUCCGGUAGACUACGAGACCGACACUGCUGCUGCCCAGUUCGACUACGGAGUCGACGACCCCUCCUACUUGCCAGAGCAACCAGGCAAGCCCCCCCUUGAUCACCAGAUAUCGCCUACUCUUCUCUAUUCUGCUUGCAUUAGAGUAGUGUAGCAUGUUACUGCUUUCGAUAUCCUAUCCUGAUGCAUAGCCUAUCCUUGCUACUACUGUUGUUACCUUUACCUGCAAUCCUACAUGCUUAGUAUAGGAUGCUAGAUUUCCAUCAGUGGCCCUACAUUCUUGUCCGUCUGCUAUGCUAUACUAUCGGGCCGUGAUCACCUGGGCGUGAUCACGGGUAUAUACUUAUAUACUAUAUACAUGACACAUGAGAUGACUAAAGUCGGGUCGGCUCGUAGGAGUACCCGCGAGUGGAUCUUUGUGGCGGAGCGACAGGGCAGGUUGAGACUGCCUAGGUGAGAGGUGGGCCUGGCCCUGGUCGGCGUUCGCGGUUACUUAACACGCUUAACGAGAUCUUGGUAUUUGAUCUGAGUCUGGCCAUUUGGUCUAUACGCACUAACCAUCUACGUGGGAGUAGUUAUGGGUAUCCCGACGUCGUGGUAUCAGCCGAAGCUCUUUUGACGUCAGCAACUGAGUGGCGCGCGCCGCAUUGGACCGUAAGCUCGCGCUUGUAUUAAGGGGGCUAGGUCUGCUUCCGGCCGCGUACGCAACGUGCAGGUGUGCAUAGGGCGAUGGGCCCAGACCCCUGCGCGCAUAGGUUUAGACCGGCGUGCUGACCUCUCUGAUGAGCCUAGGUGGGGCUGCGACGUGUUGAUCUUACGAGGCCGGGCAUGACCCAGAAAAGUGUGUCCGGCCAACUGGGAUCGAGCGUGUUGGGUUAUGUGGUGCACCCCUGCAGGGAAGUUUAUCUAUUCGAAUAGCCGUGUCCCUCGGUAAAAGGACGACCCGGAGUUGUACCUUGACCUUAUGACAACUAGAACUGGAUUCUGAAUAAAAUACACCCUUCCAAGUGCCAGAUACAACCCGGUGAUCGCUCUCUAACAGGGCGACGAGGAAGGGAUCGCCGGGUAGGAUUAUGCUAUGCGAUACUACUUGGAGGACUUCAAUCUACUCUCUUCUACAUGCUGCAAGAUGGAGAUGACCAGAAGCGUAGUAUUCGACAGGACUAGCUAUCCCCCUUUUAUUCUGGCAUUCUGCAGUUCAGUCCACUGAUAUGCCCCUUUACACAUAUACCCAUGCAUAUGUAGUAUAGCUCCUUGCUUGCGAGUACUUUGGAUGAGUACUCACGGUUGCUUCUCUCCCUCUUUCCCCCUUUCCUGUCUAUCUGGUUGUCGCAACCAGAUGUUGGAGUCCAGGAGCCAGACGCCACCGUCGACGACGACACCUACGACACUGGAGGUGCCUACUACUACGUGCAGGCCGCUGACGACGACCAGGAGUAGUUAGGAGGAUCCCAGGCAGGAGGCCUGCGCCUCGUUCGAUCUGUACCCCAGUUUGUGCUAGCCUUCUUAAGGCAAACUUGUUUAACUUAUGUCUGUACUCAGAUAUUGUUGCUUCCGCUGACUCGUCUGUGAUCGAGCUCUUGUAUUCGAGCCCUCGAGGCCCCUGGCUUGUAUUAUAAUGCUUGUAUGACUUAUUUAUGUUUUAGAGUUGUGUUGUGAUAUCUUCCCGUGAGUCCCUGAUCUUGGUCGUACGCAUUUGCGUGCAUGAUUAGUGUACGGUCAAAUCGGGGGCGUCACAAACAUGCCCAUCACUAGCAUGACAUAAAACAUAUGAAGGACUAAAGUCGCUAGCUUUCUUAGAAGGGGUGGUCUUGUCCUUCUUGGCAUUACCACCCAUACCCAGGGGUGGUCUUGUCCUUCUUGGCAUUCUCACCUUGUAUGCACGUCACAAGGCCUUUCUCAAGUUGCUCUCUCAACUUGGCAUUCUCCUCCACAAGAUGCUCAUGCUCACAAUAAGAGUUAGUAGCAUUUGCAUUAUCAAUCAAAACAAAAGGAGGACAAGUUGCUAUCUCCUUGGUUAGUUUCACUUGGAGUUGAUCACGAGAGUCCUUGAGAGAGGUAUGAGCACUCUUCAAGGCCUUGUGAGCCUUAUCGAGUAUGUCAAACUCCUCUUUGAGUCUAUCAUGGCCAACCCCAAGUGCAACUUUCUCAGAUUUAAGCACACGAGGAAGAACAGUAGCAUGAUCAAUAUCUUUUUGCAAUUUAGCACGAUCAACGUUGUGUGACUCCUCAAGAGUUAAACGAAGACCUCACUCUUCCUCAAGAGCAAUAGAAAGAUUCGCAAUCUCGUCGACAUAAUCACGACUAUGCUCCUCUAACUUGGAGAUCAUAUCUUCAUGAGACUCAAUGCUAUCAUUGGCCUCACCAAGUUGUUCCAAGAGAGCAAGAAAGUGCUUCUUGGUCUCACCCUUGAGCUUACUCAAGAACUUGUCAAACCCAUUCUCAUCAACUUUUACCACCUCACUAUCAUCCACACAAUCCAACAAAGGAGUAGUAGUGAUAGUGGUUUUGAUGUUGGGGUUACCUUGUUGAUACCUUUGUCCAUGAGGCACUUGGCGAUGAGGUUCUCAUUGGGGGCGCCAAAGAGAGACACCUUGGUUGGGGAAGAGGUGGCAAUGGCCAUGGUUGUUGUUGCCAUUCCUUCACCACUUGUAUCUUCAUCAUCAUCAUCGGAGAUGUACUCUUCUUGUGCCACCAAUCCCUUUUGAUGUAUCUUCUUUGUGAAGUUUUUCUUUCUUGGGAAGGACUUGGCUUUGUCUUUGCGAAUGAGCAUGCCACCAUUGUCCUCCCUCUUCUCAUAAGGACAAUCCACCAUAAAGUGACUCACAUUGCCGCAAUUGUAGCAAGUCCUCACUCGUUUCUUGUUCUUUGGGCCACUUGAGUUGUUCUUGGAGAAGUUGGGCCUUGAGUUUCUCUUAUUGCCCCAAAAUUGCCUUGAAGCAAGAGCCAUGUGCUCAUGGUAAGCAUAUUUGGUGUCUUCAGGGCAACUCUCUUCUUCUUCCUCCUAUUAUUCUUUCGAAAUGGCCUUGGCCUUCAGGCAAGGUUGGGAGAGGCUUUCUUUGACUAGACAUGAGCUAGUGCAUUUUAGGCGGUCUUGUUCAUGAUGUUCAUGGCAAUAAACUCAUCCAACACUUCACUUGAAGACAAGGUGUGAAAAUCCGGCCUUUGAUGAAUCACGGAGGAAAUGGCCUUGUUGAAUGGCAUGAUGGCCUUGAGAAACUUGCGCUUGAUCCAAUUAUCAUCCGUAUCCUUGCUCCCCUGAUCUUGAAGAGCGGUCGCAAGAGUUGUCAAUCUCCGGUAGAGACCACGAGGAUCCUCAUCUUCAUUCAUCACAAAUUCAUCGGCCUCAUCAAGAACCACUUCAAAGUUGGACCAUUGAAUGCUUGAGCUCCCCUUGUACAAAGAUAUGAUGUGUUCCCAAUAAUCCUUUGCCUGGGAGAAAGGGCGCAAGUGAGAUAGAUCUUCGGGAGGCACCGUGGAUUGAAGGAUGAACAACGCGGAGUGAUUGUAUUGAUUGUCCGCUUCUUCUCUUGGAGUAAGAUUGUUUGGAUCAUGCAGGUAGAAACCUUGCUCGAUGAUUCUCCAAAGGUUUGUUGAGCUGUGAUUCAAAUGAGACUUGAUACAAAAAACCCAAUUAGCGAGAUCACCAUUUACAAGCUUAGGAGGAGGACCAAGGUUGUUAAUAUGCGGUGUAGGGACAGGUCCUCCAUAGACCGGGGGAGGGGGAACCGAGGCACAGGUUCCCAUCCCAUUCUUGUUUUGAGGGGAGAAGGUUUGAGUACCUUUAGCCGCUUCCUUGCCGGAAUUGGCCUCCGACUCCGAUGCGGUGGGAUUAACCACAAGCAACGGGUCAGGAGUAGUUUUCAACCCCUCAAGUAAUUAUUUAAGCAUGGACUUGACCUCGGACCUCAUAGACGUCUUAAGUGAAGUCAUAGCUUCAUUUAAGUCAUCUCGAGUGAUCGAGUUCAACUCCAUGGCCUCGGACACUUCCUCCUCUCCGUCAACCAUACUCUUCGGGUGGUGAAACCCUUAAAAAAGAGACAAGGCUCUGAUACCAAUUGAAAGGGUCGAUAUGGCUGACUAGAGGGGGUUGAAUAGGAAACUACCAAUUUUUAUCCUUUCUUAACAAAUUAGGGCUAGCAACAAAUAGGUUGUCUAGAUAUGCAACUAGGUGAGCAACCUAUAUGAUGCUAACGACAACAACAACAACAAGCAGGCAAGCAAGGGAUACAACACAAGUAAAGCUUGCACAAAGUAAAGGUAAGAGAUAACCAAAAGUGGAACCGGAGGAGAUGAGAUGUGUUACCGAAGUUCCUUCCCUCCGUGAGGAAGUACGUCUCCAUUGGAGCGUGAUAACCCACAAGUAUAUGGGAUCACAACAGUUUUCGAGGGGAGAGUGUUCAACCCAAAUUAAUUGAUUCGACACAAGGGGAGCCACAACAACACCUAGAGAUUAAAUAUCUUAGCAAAGUGAUCAGUGGCACAAUAGUAUAGUAAUUUGAUAGCAGUAGCAAUGAUAGUAUCAGUAACAGUAACGGUAACAAUAGCAAUAAUAAUUUUGUAGCAGUUGUAAUAGUAGCAAUAGUAAUAAUAACACAGCAAGAACAAUAUGUGAAAAGCUCAUAGGCAUUGGAUCGGUGAUUUCGUUGGAUGAUACUCAUCAUAUAACAGUCAUAACCUAGGGUGACACAGAACUAGCUCCGGUUCAUCAAUAUAAUGUAGGAAUGUAUUCCGUAAAUAGUCAUACGUGCUUAUGGAAGAGAACUUGCAUGCCAUCUUUUGUCCUACCCUCCCAUGGCAGUGGGUGUCGGUGCCAAGACCAGCGGAUCUCGGGUAGGGGCCCCCGAACUGUGGAUCUGGGAUCGAUGGGAAACAAGGGACGCGGGACAUAGUAUUUACCUAGGUUCGGUCCCUCUCUAAGAGGUAAAACCCUACGUCCUACUUCAUUAUAUUGCUUGAGUAUAUGAGGAUUACAUAGUCGAUCUACCACGAGAUCAGAUGAACUAAACCCUAGGCUAGUAGGAUUAUGGAUGUUCUCUUAGCCCCUACGGACUAAACCCUCUGGUUUAUAUAGACACCAGGGAUACUAGGGUUUACAUAUAGUUGGUUACAUCAAAGGAACAAGGACGCCAAAUCUUCCAUCUUCGCUUGGGGUAUACGCAAAGUCACAAAAAGGUCUUUGGUUCGGAUAUAGUGCGGCCCAACUGUCGGGCCCAUGAGAGAUAGGGCGGCAACCUGAGGACCCCCUAGUCUAGGACUCCCUCAAUAGCCCCCGAACUAGCCUCCAAUGUCGGCUUCUUGUAAUGCUCACAUCUGCAGUCUCCUUCUUGCAAGCGAGUUCUUCCUGUGUAUUCAAAAUAAUCCUUCCUAGCCGAGCCUUUAGAGGGUAUCCAGCCCACGUGCAUAGUCAUGCCAUAUCUGGCAUCCGAACUAUCGAUUUUACUUAACCUUGAAGGCCAACCGUUAAAAUAUAUGCAGUACCUUCAACUGACAUUUUUCGGCAAAGGGUCACGGCCGAUUAUAAACAUCGAAACAUCAUGAGAACUCGAUGCACCGCUCGAGGCAGCCCCUCUAUUGGCACGUCCCAUCGAGGUGGAGAUCGUGUCCUGCUUUUCAAGGGAUUUAAUCAAUGAUUCCCAAUAUCACACUUGUGCAUAACACCACGAGUAUAUCAGGAAGUGGCGAGGCCGUUUAAAGGACUCUUGGUAUAAUGACCGCUUAUAAAAAGAGACCAGCCACAGUUAUCCCCUCACGCCUUCCUCUUCCUUUCGCCAUAGCCUUCAGCAAAGCUCUAGCGCCCCAGCUCAUCUUCCCUCAGAAGACCCCCCUUCUCCACACUCGACCAUGGCCGGAUCUGGAGUGUCGUGGAUUUGUCACGGCAGAUGCACUAGCAAAAGGACUUAGGUGUUGAGCCAUUGCAGCUAGGUUAGCUUAAAGGGGUUGAACGGGACAAGAGACACAGAGAGUUUACCCAGGUUUAGCCCUUCUCAAUGAGGUAAAAGCCUACUCCUGCUUUAGUUGUAUUGCUUGGGUUUCGAUUACCAGGGAGCGACUACGCUUGACCUAGUUCUCGAUCGAUUGUUUUUUGAGUUAACCCGCCGCCGGGUCACCCCUUUAUAUACAGGUUGAUGCCCGGCGGCUUACAGAUGUUGGGGAUCGUAGCAGAAUUUAAAAGUUUUCUAUGCGUCACCAAGAUCCAUAUAUGGAGUGUACUAGAAAUGAGGGGAAAGGAGUGCAUCUACAUACCCUUGUAGAUCGCGAGCGGAAGCGUUCCAAUGAACGAGGUUGAUGGAGUCGUACUCGCCGUGAUCCAAAUCACCGAUGACCGAGUGCCAAACGGACGGCACCUCUGCGUUCAACACACGUACGGAGCAGCGACGUCUCCUCCUUCUUGAUCCAGCAAGGGGGAAGGAGAGGUUGAUGGAGAUCCAGCAGCACGACGGCGUGGUGGUGGAAGUAGCGGGGUCUCGGCAGGGCUUCGCCAAGCUUCUGCGAGAGGGAGAGGUGUUGCAGGGGGAGAGGGAGGCGCCAGGGGCUGUCAUGCUGCUGCCCUCCCUCCCCCCACUAUAUAUAGGCCCCCUGGGAGGGGGGGCGCCGGCCUGGAUCCCAUCUGCAAGGGGGGGCGGCGGCCAGGGGGAAACUUACCCCCCAAGGCAAGUGGGGCGCCCCCCACCCUAGGGUUUCCAACCCUAGGCGCAGGGGGAGGCCCAUGGGGGGCGCCCCAGCCCACUAAGGGCUGGUUCCCUUCCCACUUCAGCCCAUGGGGCCCUCCGGGAUAGGUGGCCCCACCCGGUGGACCCCCGGGACCCUUCCGGUGGUCCCGGUACACUACCGGUGACCCCCGAAACUUUCCCGGUGGCCGAAACUUGACUUCCUAUAUAUAAUUCUUCACCUCCGGACCAUUCCGGAACUCCUCGUGACGUCCGGGAUCUCAUCCGGGACUCCGAACAACUUUCGGGUUUCCGCAUACUAAUAUCUCUACAACCCUAGCGUCACCGAACCUUAAGUGUGUAGACCCUACGGGUUCGGGAGACAUGCUGACAUGACCGAGACGCCUCUCCGGUCAAUAACCAACAGCGGGAUCUGGAUACCCAUGUUGGCUCCCACAUGUUCCACGAUGAUCUCAUCGGAUGAACCACGAUGUCAAGGAUUCAAUCAAUCCCGUAUACAAUUCCCUUUGUCAAUCGGUACGUUACUUGCCCGAGAUUCGAUCGUCGGUAUCCCAAUACCUUGUUCAAUCUCGUUACCGGCAAGUCACUUUACUCGUACCGUAAUGCAUGAUCCCGUGGCUAACUCCUUAGUCACAUUGAGCUCAUUAUGAUGAUGCAUUACCGAGUGGGCCCAGAGAUACCUCUCCGUCAUACGGGGUGACAAAUCCCAGUCUCGAUCCGUGCCAACUCAACAGACACUUUCGGAGAUACCCGUAGUGUACCUUUAUAGUGACCCAGUUACAUUGUGACGUUUGGCACACCCAAAGCACUCCUACGGUAUCCGGGAGUUGCACGAUCUCAUGGUCUAAGGAAAUGAUACUUGACAUUGGAAAAGCUCUAGCAAACGAACUACACGAUCUUUUGUGCUAUGCUUAGGAUUGGGUCUUGUCCAUCACAUCAUUCUCCUAAUGAUGUGAUCCCGUUAUCAACGACAUCCAAUGUCCAUGGUCAGGAAACCGUAACCAUCUAUUGAUCAACGAGCUAGUCAACUAGAGGCUUACUAGGGACAUGGUGUUGUCUAUGUAUCCACACAUGUAUCUGAGUUUCCUAUCAAUACAAUUCUAGCAUGGAUAAUAAACGAUUAUCAUGAACAAGGAAAUAUAAUAAUAACCAAUUUAUUAUUGCCUCUAGGGCAUAUUUCCAACAGUCUCCCACUUGCACUAGAGUCAAUAAUCUAGUUCACAUCACCAUGUGAUUAACACUCACAGGUCACAUCACCAUGUGACCAACAUCCAAAGAGUUUACUAGAGUCAACAAUCUAGUUCACAUCACUAUGUGAUUAACACUCAAUGAGUUCUGGUUUGAUCAUGUUAUGCUUGUGAGAGAGGUUAUUAGUCGACGGGUCUGAACCUUUCAGAUGCGUGUGUGGUUUACGAAUAUCUAUGUCAUCUUGUGGAUGCUACCACGUGCUACUUGGAGCCAUUUCAAAUAACUGCUCUACUAUACGAACUCGGUUUACUACUCAGAGUCAUCCAGAUUAGUGUCAAAGUUCGCAUCGACGUAACCCUUUAUGACGAACUCCUUUUCACCUCCAUAAUCGAGAAAAUUCCUUAGUCCACUAGAUACUAAGGAUAAGUUCGACCGCUGUCAUGUGAUCCAUUCCCGGAUCACCAUUGUACCCCUUGACCAACUCAUGGCAAGGCACACUUCAUGUGCGGUACACAACAUAGCAUACUGUAGAGUCUACGUCUAAAGCAUAGGGGACAACCUUCGUCUUUUCUCUCUCUUCUGCUGUGGUCGGGUCUUGAGUCUUACUCAAUACUCACACCUUGCAACACAGCCAAGAACUCCUUCUUUGCUGAUCUAUUUUGAACUCUUUCAAAAUCAUGUCAAGGUGUGCGUUCUUUGAAAGUAUCAUCAGACGUCUUGAUCUAUCUCUAUAGAUCUUGAUGACCAAUAUGUAAGCAGCUUUAUCCAGGUCUUCCUUUGAAAAACUCCUUUCAAACAACCCUUUAUGCUUUCCAGAAAUUUUUACAUCAUUUCGGAUCAACAAUAUGUCAUUCACAUAUACUUAUCAGAAAUGUUGUAGUGCUCCCACUCACUUUAUUGUAGAUACAAGUUUCUAACAAACUUUGUACAAACCCAAAAACUUUGAUCACUCCAUCAAAGCGUAUAUUCUGACUCUGAGAUGCUUGCUCUAGUCCAUGGAAGGAUCGCUGGAGCUAGCAUACCUUUUAGCAUCCUUAGGAUCGACAAAACCUUUCUGAUUGUAUCACAUACAACCUUUCCUUACGAAAACUGGUAAGGAAACUUGUUUUGACAUCCAUCUGCCAGAUUUCAUAAAUGCAGCUAAUGCUAACAUGAUUCCGACGGACUUAAGCAUCGCUACGGAUGAGAAAAUAUCAUCGUAGUCAACUCCUUGAACUUGUGAAAAUACUCUUUGCCAUAGAUCGAGCUUCAUAGACGGUAACAUUACCGUCCAUGUCCUUCUUAAAGAUCCAUUUAUCUCAAUGGCUUGCCGAUCAUCGGGCAAGUUCACCAAAGUCCAUGCUUUGUUCUGAUACAUGGAUCCUAUCUCGGAUUUCAUGGUUUCUAACCAUUUGUCGGAAUAUGGGCCCACCAUCGCUUCUCCAUAGCUCGUAGGUUCAUUGUUGUCCAACAACAUGACUUCCAAGACAGGAUUACCGUACCACUCAGGAGUAGUACAUAUCCUUGUCGACCUACGAGGUUUGGUAGUGACUUGAUCCGAAGUUUCAUGAUCACUAUCAUAAGCUUCCACUUCAAUUGGUGUAGGUGCCACAGGAACAACUUCCUGUGCCCUGCUACACACUAGUUGAAGUUAUGGUUCAAUAACCUCAUCAAGUCUCCACCAUCCUCCCACUCAAUUCUUUCGAGAGAAACUUUUCCUCGAGAAAGGACUCGUUUCUAGAAGCAAUUACUUUUGCUUCCAGAUCUGAAAUAGGAGGUAUACCCAACUGUUUUGGGUAUUCUAUGAAGAUGCAUUUAUCCGCUUUGGGUUCGAGCUUAUCAGCCUGAAACUUUUUCACAUAAGCAUCGCAGCCCCAAACUUUUAAGAAACGACAACUUAGGUUUCUCUAAACGGUGUCGUCUCAACGGAAUUGCGUGGUGCCCUAUUCAAAGUGAAUGCGGUUGUCUCUAAUGCCUAACCCAUAAACGAUAGUUGUAAUUCGAUAAGAGACAUCAUGGUAUGCACCAUAUCCAAUAGGGUGCAGUUAUGAUGUUCGGACACACCAUCACACUGUGGUGUUCCAGGCGGUAUUAAUUGUGAAACACUUUCCACAAUGUCUUAAUUGUGUGCCAAACUCGUAACUCAGAUAUCUCUAUGAUCAUAUCAUAGACAUUUUAUCCUCUUGUCACGAUGAUCUUCAACUUCACUCUGAAAUUACUUGAACCUUUCAAUAAUUCAGACUUGUGUUUCAUCAAGUAAAUAUUCUCAGCAUCUACUCAAAUCAUCUGUGAAGUAAGAACAUAACGAUAUCCACUGCAUGCCUCAGCACUCAUUGGACUGCAUACAUCAAAAUGUAUUACUUCCAAUAAGUUGCUCUCUUGUUCCAUCUUACUGAAAACGAGGCCUUUCAGUCAUCUUGCCCAUGUGGUAUGAUUUGCAUGUCUCAAGUGAUUCAAAAUCAAGUGAGUACAAACGAUCCAUUUGCAUGGAGUUUCUUCAUGCAUAUAUACCAAUAGACAUGGUUCGCAUGUCUCAAUCUUUUCAAAAACGAGUGAGUCCAAAGAUCCAUUUACAUGGAGCUUCUUCAUGCGUUCUAUACCAAUAUGACUCAAAUGGCAGUGCCACAAGUAUGUGGAACUAUCAUUACUAUUUUAUAUCUUUUGGCACGAACAUGUGUAUCACUACGAUCGAGAAUCAUUUUAGGUGCAAGACCAUUGAAGGUAUUAUUCAAAUAAACAGAGUAACCAUUAUUCUCCUUAAAUGAAUAACCGUAUUGCGAUAAACAUAAUCCAAUCAUGCUCAACGCAAACACCAAAUCUCGAUGGUAGAGGGAGCAUGUGAUGCUUGAUCACAUCAACCUUGGAAACACUUCCAACACACAUCGUCAUCUCACCUUUAGCUAGUCUCCAUUUAUUCCGCAACUUUUAUUUCGAGUUACUAGCACUUAGCAACCGAACCGGUAUCUAAUACCCUGGUGCUGCUAGGAGUACUAGUAAAGUACACAUUCAUACAAUGUAUAUCCAAUAUACUUCUGUCGACCUUGCCUGCCUUCUUAUCUACCAAGUAUCUAGGGUAGUUCCGCUUCAGUGACCGUUCCCCUCAUUACAGAAGCACUUAGUCUCGGGUUUGGGUUCAACCUUGGGAUUCUUCGCUAGAGCAGCAAAUGAUUUGCUGUUUCAUGAAGUAUCCCUUCUUACCCUUGCCCUUCUAGAAACUAGUGGUUUUACUAACCAUCAACAAUUGAUGCUCCUUCUUGAUUUCUACUUUCGCGGUGUCAAACAUCGCGAGUUGCUCAAGGAUCAUCAUAUCUAUCCCUGAUAUGUUACAGUUCAUCACGAAGCUCUAAUAGCUUGGUGGCAGUGACUAUGGAGAACCAUCACUAUCUCAUCUGGAAGAUUAACUCCCACUCGAUUCAAGCGAUUGUGGUACUCAGACAAUCUGAGCACAUGCUCAACGAUUGAGCUUUUCUCCCUCAAUUUGUAGGCUUAAGAAACUUGUCAGAGGUCUCAUACCUCUUGACGUGGGCACUAGUCCGAAAUCCCAAUUUCAGUCUUCGGAACAUCUCAUAUGUUCUGCGACGUUUCAAAAACCGUCUUUGGUGCCACAAUUCUAAACCGUUAGCAUUACGCACUGAACUAUCACGUAGUCAUCAAAACGUGUAUGUCAGAUGUUUCGCAACAUCUAUAGACGACGCUGCGGUUCAGCACACCGAGCGGUGCAUAAGGACAUAAGCCUUCUGUGUAGCAAUGAGGACAAUCCUCAGUUUACGGACCCAGUCCGCAUAAUUGCUACUACCAACUUUCAACUAAAUUUUCUCUAGGAACAUAUCUUAACCAGUAGAACUAAAGCGCAAGUUAUGACAUAAUUUGCAAAGACCUUCUGACUAUGUUCAUGAUAAUUAAGUUCAUCUGAUUAAUGAACUCCCACUCAGAUAGACAUCCCUCUAGUCAUCUAAGUGAUACAUGAUCCGAGUCAAACUAGGCCGUGUCCGAUCAUCACGUGAGACGGACUAGUCAUCAUCGGUGAACAUCUCCAUGUUGAUCGUAUCUACUAUACGACUCAUGUUCGACCUUUCGAUCUCUUGUGUUCCGAGGCCAUGUCUGUACAUGCUAGGCUCGUUAAGUCAACCUAAGUGUUUCGCAUGUGUUCCGAGGCCAUGUCUGUACAUGCUAGGCUCGUCAACACCCGUUGUAUUCGAACGUUAGAAUCUAUCACACCCGAUCAUCACGUGGUGCUUCGAAACAACGAACCUUCGCAACGGUGCACAGUUAGGGGGAACACUUUCUUGAAAUUAUUAUAAGGGAUCAUCUUACUUACUACAGUCGUUCUAAGCAAAUAAGAUGCAUAACAUGAUAAACAUCACAUGCAAUCAAAUAGUGACAUGAUAUGGCCAAUAUCAUUUUGCUCCUUUGAUCUCCAUCUUCGGGGCGUCAUGAUCAUCUUUGUCACCGGCAUGACACCAUGAUCUCCAUCAUCAUGAUCUCCAUCAUUGUGUCUUCAUGAAGUUGUCACGCCAACGAUUACUUCUACUUCUAUGGCUAACGCGUUUAGCAAUAAAGUAAAGUAAUUUACAUGGCGUUCUUCAAUGACACGCAGGUCAUACAAUAAAUUAAGACAACUCCUAUGGCUCCUGCCGGUUGUCAUUCUCAUCGACAUGCAAGUCGUGAUUCCUAUUACAAGAACAUGAUCAAUCUCAUACAUCACAUAUAUCAUUCAUCACAUCCUUUUUGGCCAUAUCACAUCACAAGGCACAUGCUGCAAAAACAAGUUAGACGUCCUCUAAUUGUUGUUGCAAGUUUUUACGUGGCUUGUAUAGGUUUUUUAGCAAGAACGUUUCUUACCUACGUAAAACCACAAUGUGAUAUGCCAAUUUCUAUUUACCCUUCAUAAGGACCCUUUUCAUCGAAUCCGUUCCGACUAAAGUGGGAGAGACAUACACCCGCUAGCCACCUUAUGCAACUAGUGCAUGUCAGUCGGUGGAACCUGUCUCACGUAAGAGUACGUGUAAGGUCGGUCCGGGCCGCUUCAUCCCACAAUACCGCCGAAGCAAGAUAAGACUAGUAGCGGCAAGAAGAAUUGGCAACAUCUACGCCCACAACUGCUUUGUGUUCUACUCGUGCAUAGUAACUACGCAUAGACCUGGCUCAUGAUGCCACUGUUGGGGAUCGUCGCAGAAUUUAAAAAAUUUCUAUGCAUCACCAAGAUCCAUCUAUGAAGUGUACUAGCAACGAGGGGAAAGGAGUGCAUAUACAUACCCUUGUAGAUCGCGAGCGAAAGCGUUCCAAUGAACGAGGUUGAUGGAGUCGUACUUGCCGUGAUCCAAAUCACCGAUGACCAAGUGCCGAACGGACGGCACCUCCGCGUUCAACACACGUACGGAGCAACGACGUCUCCUCCUUCUUGAUCCAGCAAGGGGGAAGGAGAGGUUGAUGGAGAUCCAGCAGCACGACGGCGUGGUGGUGGAAGUAGCGGGGUCUCGGCAGGGCUUCGCCAAGCUUCUGCGAGAGGGAGAGGUGUUGCAGGGGGAGAGGGAGGCGCCAGGGGCUGUCAUGCUGCUGCCCUCCCUCCCCCCCACUAUAUAUAGGCCCCCUGGGAGGGGGGGUGCCGGCCUGGAUCCCAUCUGCAAGGGGGGGGGGCGGCGGCCAGGGGGAAACUUACCCCCAAGGCAAGUAGGGCGCCCCCCCACCCUAGGGUUUCCAACCCUAGGCGCAGGGGGAGGCCCAUGGGGGGCGCCCCAGCCCACUAAGGGCUGGUUCCCUUCCCACUUCAGCCCAUGGGGCCCUCCGGGAUAGGUGGCCCCACCCGGUGGACCCCCGGGACCCUUCCGGUGGUCCCGGUACACUACCGGUGACCCCCGAAACUUUCCCGAUGGCCGAAACUUGACUUCCUAUAUAUAAUUCUUCACCUCCGGACCAUUCCGGAACUCCUCGUGACGUCCGGGAUCUCAUCCGGGACUCCAAACAACUUUCGGGUUUCCGCAUACUAAUAUCUCUACAACCCUAGCGUCACCGAACCUUAAGUGUGUAGACCCUACGGGUUCGGGAGACAUGCAGACAUGACCGAGACGCCUCUCCGGUCAAUAACCAACAGCGGGAUCUGGAUACCCAUGUUGGCUCCCACAUGUUCCACGAUGAUCUCAUCGGAUGAACCACGAUGUCAAGGAUUCAAUCAAUCCCGUAUACAAUUCCCUUUGUCAAUCGGUACGUUACUUGCCCGAGAUUCGAUCGUCGGUAUCCCAAUACCUUGUUCAAUCUCGUUACCGGCAAGUCACUUUACUCAUACCGUAAUGCAUGAUCCCGUGGAUAACUCCUUAGUCACAUUGAGCUCAUUAUGAUGAUGCAUUACCGAGUGGGCCCAGAGAUACCUCUCCGUCAUACGGGGUGACAAAUCCCAGUCUCGAUCCAUGCCAACUCAACAGACACUUUCGGAGAUACCCGUAGUGUACCUUUAUAGUGACCCAGUUACGUUGUGACGUUUGGCACACCCAAAGCACUCCUACGGUAUCCGGGAGUUGCACGAUCUCAUGGUCUAAGGAAAUGAUACUUGACAUUGGAAAAGCUCUAGCAAACGAACUACACGAUCUUUUGUGCUAUGCUUAGGAUUGGGUCUUGUCCAUCACAUCAUUCUCCUAAUGAUGUGAUCCCGUUAUCAACGACAUCCAAUGUCCAUGGUCAGGAAACCGUAACCAUCUAUUGAUCAACGAGCUAGUCAACUAGAGGCUUACUAGGGACAUGGUGUUGUCUAUGUAUCCACACAUGUAUCUGAGUUUCCUAUCAAUACAAUUCUAGCAUGGAUAAUAAACGAUUAUCAUGAACAAGGAAAUAUAAUAAUAACCAAUUUAUUAUUGCCUCUAGGGCAUAUUUCCAACAACAGAGUCCCGACCGGCUCACACAAACGUGACAGGCUCGGUUUCUAACUAAGCUUGCCUUAUAGAACAAGUCAUCAGCUAUCGGUACACUCCUCCGUGCCUUGAGUCGCCUCCAAGUCCUGGGCCUUCAAUAGGCUUGCUCUAUAAACCGCCACCUUCAUAUCUUCUUGGACCUUAUCGGGCCUCUUCAUCUUUAAGUCGCCAAUGGUAUGACCCGGCCCCUCCUGGGCGGGUCAUACCUAGUAGCUAUAUCCCCAACAUUAGGCCUGAGGUUGAUUUGAACUUGUUCACAUCAAUCUUCACCACUUGACUUAGCAGAAUCUUCCAUUAUCAAUCCAGUGUAACCCGCCAUGACGUCACAUUAUAGAAUCGUGGUAACCCGCCAUGACAUCAUGUGCAUUAAUUUUGCACAAAGACCAGAACAUCUCUACAGAUCUUUAUCUUAAUAGACUUCCUGGAAAUCGAGGCGUCCAUAUAGCCACAUAAUCAUUUUCAGCCUCCUUGAUUCCCGAGCAUGCCGUCUAAUCUCCUCGUUAUAAAUAGGGGCAGGGGGCCCUUCUUUUCACUUUUUACACCCGUCCUGACAUCUUCUUCCUCCUCGCGACUCCGCUGCAACCGAGCACCGCCGCCGCCGUCAUUCAUCAACAACACCAACUCCGGCCGCUACAUCGACCUGAACAGACCAGAAAACUGCGGGGGACCUCCGCUGUUCAUCAGCAUCAGUAAGCACUCACCUUUCCUCAUAGCAGAUCUGCAUUAGGGUUUCCGCCGUUCGUCGGUGUUCUUCACCGUUCUUCACUUUCCUCUUUAGAACGCAUAGUUUGAUUUGAACACGACACUGACGCUGUGUGGUAGCAGUUUUAGCAUCCCUUUCCAAUCGCAAAAGAUACCCUUUCUGUACAAGAUCCCAUCUGAGCACAUGAGUUCUUCCACUGCCGCAACCUUAGGUUUAAGAUUUAUUUUAUUUUUUGAACUGCCGUAGAUCCAAAAUCAUAGAUCCGAUCUGUGGAAUCUGUUUGUUCACAACUUAGCAAAAUUUCACUCAUAGGUCUACAGAUACUUGUGAACUGCAGCCGUACAGGCGGCUUAUAUGAUAGGCCAUAACCCGCCAGACACCAUUAGUCCCACUUUAAGCCGCCAAUAUAUGUUCAAAAUCUGUAUAACCUGGCAUUGUCUUCCGGUUUAAUCAUGCCAACCUUUAUAGCACGUCUUCUCUGUGUACAAAUUAGCCUUGUACAAUGCACUUACUUUUUAAUCACUGGGCGGCUUAAUCAGCAUAACCUUAAACCGGCAAUACUUUCCUUUCUAGGCUUUUUCAUCAACAAAAUGACCAAGACCGUUACUUCAUGCAACUGGGUCGCCUCCCGGGUCACAGAACAAACACUGAAUGAGUAUAUCCAAGUGGGUGCCUUAGCUGCAAAAAAUGUUAUCCACUAGAGAGUCCCAGGAGCAGAAACCACCCCUAACUCACAAGAAGGCGAAGUCAUAGUUUUUAUUGAACAUAUGCACCCGGCUCAAAAUUCCUUCAUGAUGUGCUGCAUUUCUUCCAACUUCAUCCUCAAGAUAUCGGGCCCAACUCUGUUUCAAAUAUUUGCAACUUUCAAGUUUUCUGCAAAGUAUACCUUCAACAAGAGCCCAUUGUAGAAUUGUUCAGGGAAUUCUAUUACUUGAACCGCCAGACCGAGUUCACAGAUGGGCCCAGCCUAGAACUAGGUGGCAUUUCAAUUCAGAGGUGGAAAGAAGCUACUUUCCCUGCCGUCGCACUUCCCAGUCAUCCUAAGGACUGGAACCAGACCUGGUUUUAUUGCAAAGACACAUCUCCAGAAGGUGAAAAUCCUCUGCCGGGUUACCAUGAAAACCGGCUUAGCAACAGGCACCCUCUCCCAGAACGGAUCAACACAAAAGAGCAGGCCAAAUAUAUGCCCAUUUUUUCAAAGAUCGGAGCCUUAAUGGCCAAUGGUUUGACUGGAAUUGAUCUAGUUCGAUGCUGGGUCGCAUGGAGAAUCUUACCCUUAAGCCGCCGGCCCGGCUUAAUGUGUGAGUAUACUGGCGAUGUCAAAGAUCCCCAGCGCCACUGCCAAAUAGAACUGGAUGAUGACGAGAUCAAUAGGAUGAGCAAGACACUGCUUAACGAGAGCUUGGAAACUUGCAGCAAAACAGGCUUGAAUCCUUUCUGCACCCUUAACAAAGCUCCAGUUGUAAGUGUUUUGAACAACUGGCAACUUAUUCAUUAUUUACUUAAACUAUCUUCUCAUUAUCACUUGACUUCUGCAGGCUGAUUCCUCCUUUUGGAACAAGAAACUCCAGGACAAGCCGGCCAAAAAGGCUAGAGAUAAGACGAAAGCUGUCAGGAAACCUGCUAAGAAGAAAACAAACACCUCAGAGUUGUUUUCUUUGAAUGAUGAUGAGUCAAAGGUAGAUCUUGACUCCCUUGGCUCCUAUUUCAUUCAUCUUAUUGACAUUGAUUGUUAUCAGGACAACGUGGAGGCCAGCAACACGGACGGUGAAGAGGUAAAUAUCCUUUCCUCUGACUCAGAGCCUUUGCCAAGACAGAGAGUUCGACAAGUGAGCCGGAAAGUAAGGUUUUCUCGCCCUUUAGCUUACUUGGACCCAAACUUUAUUUUGAAGAAAAAACAACAUGAAGCUCGGCGCACAACCCGGAAUAGUGGAGGUGGAGAACUUUCCUCCAGUUUACCCAACACACCGCCCCCUCGCAAACAUCGGAAAGAGGUGCCUCAAAAUUCAAUCCCUUUUUACCCAAAGGCGGGUCUUAUUCGCCAACCACUUAAUCCUUCCGACUCAAAUUAUUAGGGAACUUCUCAUUCCUCUUCUGGAGACUCAUCACAAACCCAAAUGCCUGCCUUCAAAGUUGCCCCUGGGUAAUAACAUUUUACUUUGCCAUUUUAACAGUUGUGAACUGAUAUACUUAUACCAUCAUCAUUCUUAUGUUUCCAGUGGUAUAGCAAAGUCGAGCAAGAAAUUGAAGCCAAAUAAGCCAGCCGAAGACCCCAAAGUCCAUGAACCGGAAGAGCAGACAGUGUCUGAAUCUUUGCAUCAAACUUCUAAUGAUCCGCCGCUAGAAGUGCAAUGGAUUCCAUGGAUGUUAACCUAGCUAAUGCUAAGCCGCCAAGUCCCAUUAAGCCUGCUGAAGAAAAGGCUGAAGAUGCUAUUAUCACCGGGGUUGGCUAUGUAGAGCCGGGCAACCCCACUGUCUUAGCAAAACAUAGCGCCAAGGAAGAAUUUUGAGCUACUGACAAGGGCAAAUGGAAGAUGGACUUGGAAAGUUAUGCCCAGUUUAACGCUCAUGAGAUUCACGCGGGUUACCUAAACCGCCUUCAUACCAGCCGUGACUUUGAAGCCGGCCUAGUCAAACUGAUGAAGGAGCGCUUUGAGGUAAAUACUCAAAAUUCUUCUCAUAUAGAUAUCUGUCAGCCGCCAAAUCUACUGAAUGUGAAAGAAUUGAACAUGUUGUAGACUUAAAUAGGAUCUUUGACCUUGUAGCUAUUCCAUAGCAAUUUAACUUUGCUGAAUCAAAACGAGUAGUCCCCAAGGGCCGGCUUAAACUGGAUUGUUAAGCUGGGACUUAAGAUUAUAAGGCAAAAAUCCGCAUAUGUAGCCACCAUGGGCCGGUUUAAAUUAAAAAAAAAUAACCGGGUCAUCAAGUAUGCAAAAAACAUGACCUACAUUAGCCCCCAAGUGCUAAGUGAAAUACUUGUAUUAUGCUUGGUACUUUAAUAAGAUGAUUAUCAUAACCAUUCCUUUGUUUUGCAGGCUGAAUUAAGUAUGAAAGAAUCCCAAGUAGUGGAUCUGCGGCAGAACAUCCAAGCACAACAAUCUGAAACUUCCAAGGCCAAAUCAGAAUUCAAAACCAUUUUGGAAGAAACUGAGAAGCUGAAAAAGGAUUUCAAUGCUGAAAGGAUCAGCUGGGAUAAUGAAAAGGCGGCUCUAUUGAAAAGAGCUGAAGAGGCUGAGGCUGCUCUUAAGCCGGUGACUGAAGAGUUAUCCAGCUUGAAGCAUCAGAUUAAUAGCAUGAUAGCUGCCAUCUUUGGUAAGUAAUAUUGUACUUCAACCUUUCACCAGCAACAUAUAAUAACCAUCAACCGAUUUAUCAAUAUCUUUAUCAAUGCAGGCCCCAAAAGUUCUAACCUUGGUCAAGACAUGCGUGUGGAACUUAAAGCUGCAUAUUCCCUUGUGGAACAGUUAUACACCGGUGCUCAACGGGCUAUAUCUGCUAUCUCGCAUAAAAAGCAAUCACCUUCGCUCAUCAGGGAAGUGCUGGAUAAACUAUCUGUAGUGCCUCAAAGAGUUGAAGACCUAAAGCGAUCAGCCGCCAGAGCCGGUGCCAUCACCGCGCUGAGCCGGGCAAAGGCAUGGCAAGAAGAACUGGACCCAGAAGAGUUGGCCACCGGCUGCCCGAGCCAGAAAGAGGACGGAUCUCCCUUCACGACAGCAGAUUUCGCCAAGUGUGUAAGGGAAAUGCGCCCUUUCGCAAGCAAGCUGGCUGAGGAGACUGACUUGUCAAAAUAUCACGCAGCUUACUCCCAAGAAAACUCAAAAGUAUUAGCGCCGGUUCAUGAUGCCGUGAAUCUUAUCCCACCAACACGUAAGCACAACUACGCUCCUGAUAUUGAUCCGUCGACCAUUAUAGAUGAUGAAGCUGUAUUUAGAGCUUUGACUAUCAUCAACUGGACCAAAUCUGACUUCCAGCCAAUGGGUAAAGAAGAGGAAGAACUGGUGCAAGAUGACCCGGAGUCUUCAACACGCCAAGCCCAAAACAAUUGACUCAAGGGGCGGCUCUUAAACUGCAACAUAAUGCUUUUCUCUGGAAAACAAUCAAUUUGGGCCUUGGAGAGCCUUGUAAUAGGCUAGUUUGGAAACCACGAUCUGCCAUGCCAUCAUGCAUGUUUUUGCCUUCAAACUGCUGAUGCAUUUUCUACGUGCCUUUGAUAAGUUUGCAAGGAAGAUUAUACUAUUUUGCAAUGUUCCUGCACACAUAAUAAACAACAUAUGCCCUGGUGGUUUAUACCAAGGUGGGUCACAAUGCCCAACAAAAUGUUAUCUGGCGACUUUAAAGUCUAUAACCAGGGCGGGUCAUCAAACCUUGCAUAUUCAUUUAACAAGUAAAAAACAUACCCGCGAAAUUGGUUCAUACUGCCGGCUUACAUCGCCAUAUCCAGUAAAGGUGGUAGCCCAAAGACUUAUAGAGCAUAACUCGAUUGCGCAAUCAAAGUAUACUGGCAACUUAGCGUCCAAAGCUAGGACGGGUUAUCAAAACCCCAGAUAUGCUCAAAUAUGAGUCAUAAAUAUUAAGGCUAUAUGGCCUUAAUUGUUUUGAACCAUAUGUUAAUAUGGAACAAGGACAUGAAUCCAAACAAUGUUCAGAGAAAAUAACAAAUCAGAAAAAAUAAGGCUUUCAUAGGCCUCCAAGCCAAAAUUUCAUGUGCUUUCAUGGGCCGCACAACCACUAAGUCAAUCCUUUAUUCAAACCCGUAAGCCGGCCCUCACAUGACCAACCGUUGUUUUAACCUCGACAAGUUAAGGGUCUUUAUUACAAGAUUGAUUGUUGAGAGUACAGCGGGUCAUUCCAGGAUUACCUGGGCGGAGUGACAAGGACAUACAGACAGGAUAACCCAGAAUUUGGUGUUUACACCUGGCAUACAAGCCGAUCAAGAGGGUAAGUAUAGCUAUGUUCACUGAACAGGAAGCCCCCAAGUGACCCUAUAAUGAGCCCUCAAGGCAGGAUACCUAUGUUUGAACUGCGCAUUGCAGCAAGUUCUCUUUGGUAACCUUGGGCAGGAAGCUCUCAAAUAAUUUGCAACAAGGUGUGUAAGCCGGAUCAAGAGGGUAGUCACAGCUAUGCUCGGUGAGCAGAAAGCCCCCAAGUAAUUUGUAACAAGGCGUUGAAGCCGGAUCAAGAGGGUAGUCACAACUAUGCUCAGUGAGUAGGAAGCCCCCAAGAGGUCUUAUGAACUGAUAAUAAAGACUCAGAUACUCAGAAAUGAAAUGGUAGAGGCCCUGAAUUAUCAGGGAUGCCGAUUUUAUUAUAUUAGUCAUAAUAUAUACAUUGACAAAAGUAUGUACAACACAAGAGCCGGUGGCUAAAGUGUAAUAAGGCCGAAGAUGAGCAAUGUUCCAAGGCGGGCGGGUCUCCUCCUCCGAUGUGCCUGAGUCCUUGUUUUCUCGAAUAUCAAUGAGGUAGUACAACCCGUUGUUCAGAUUUUAACUGACCACAAAAGGUCCUUCCCAAGGUGGGGAUAACUUGUGCAUAUCUGUUUGAUCCUGGAUAAGCCGGAGCACCAAGUCACCUUCUUGAAAGGUCCGGGUUUUAACCCGACGACUAUGAUAAUAAUGCAGAUCUUGCUGAUAAAUCGCCGAACGAGCCGUCGAAAGGUCACGCUCCUCAUCUAGGAGGUCAAGAUCAUCCUGACGUGUUGUUUCGUUAUCAGCUUCAACAUAAGCCGCCAUACGGGGCGAGUCGUGACGGAUGUCACUGGGAAGAACCGCCUCUACUCCAUAAACCAUGAAGAAAGGCAUAUAACCCGUGGAUCUGUUGGGGUAGUAUUGAUACUCGAGAGCACCGAGGGUAACUCCUCAACCCAACAACCCGGCGUCCUCUGCAAAGGGACCAUAAGCUGGGGUUUUAUACCUCUUCAGAUUUCUUGAUUGGCCCGUUUGGCUUGACCAUUGGACUGGGGGCGGGCCACUAAUGAAACGUCAAGAUGAAUAUGAUCUCAUUGACAGAAUUCUUUCAUAGAACCUCAGAUAGAUUAGUACCAUUUUCAGUGAUGAUGCUAUGAGAGUAACCAAAAUAGAAAAUCACCUUUUUAAUGAAUUGAACCGCCGUUGCCGCAUUACACUUGCUGACCGGCUCUGCCUCAACCCACUUUGUAAAUUUGUCAACCGCCACCAAAAGGUGAGUCUUUUUGUUCUUCGAUCUCUUGAAAGGUCCAACCAUAUCCAGCCCCCAAACUGCAAACGUACAAGUGAUUGGAAUCAUCCUUAAUUCUUGAGCUGGCACAUGAGCUCGUCUCGAAAAUUUCUAACAGCCAUCACACUUGCUAACCAGAUCUUCUGCAUCAACAUGAGCCGUCAGCCAAUAAAACCCAUGACGAAAAGCCUUAGCCACGAGAGACUUAGAGCCGACAUGAUGGCCACAAUCUCCUUCAUGAAUCUCUCUUAAAAUCUCACGGCCCUCCUCAGGAGAAAUACAGUGUUGAAACACCCCUGUGACACUGCAUCGGUGUAACUCGCCAUUAACAAUGGUCAUUGACUUAGACCGCCUGGUUAUUUGCCUGGCCAAGUUUCAUCCUCAGGUAACUCACCUCGGGUCAUAUAAGUCAAAUAUGGAACUGUCCAAUCAGGAAUAGCAUGAAGAGCCGCCACCAAUUGUGCCUCCGGGUCAGGGAUAGCAAGAUCUUCUCCCAUAGGCAGUUUAUCUGAAGGAUUAUUCAGAAUAUCAAGAAAGACAUUAGGUGGUACCGGCUUACGCUGAGACCCCAACCGGCUUAAAGUAUCAGCUGCCUCAUUUUUCCUGCGAUCAACAUGUUCCACUUGAUAACCUUUGAAAUGACCAGCAAUACCAUCAACCACCCGGCGAUAAGCCGCCAUGAGUGGGUCUUUGGAAUCCUAAGUUCCUGAGACUUGCUGAGCCACCAGAUCUGAAUCGCCAAAACACCUGACCCGGCUUAGAUUCAUCUCUUUGGCCAUCCGAAGACCAUGGAGCAAGGCCUCAUAUUCAGCUGCAUUGUUAGUACAAGGAAACAUCAACCUUAAGACAUAGCAAAACUCAUCACCUCGUGGGGAAGUCAAAAUAACUCCAGCCCCCGAGCCUUCCAACUGCCUGGAUCCAUCAAAAUGAAUAGUCCAAUAUGUAUUAUCCAGCUUUUCCUCAGACAUUUGCAACUCUGUCCAGUCAUUGAUGAAACCCACAAGUGCUUGAGACUUGAUGGUUGUCCUAGGCGUAUACUUCAAACCAUGAGGUCCAAGCUCAAUGGCCCACUUGGCCACCAGGCCUGUAGCUUCCCUGUUUUGAAUAAUAUCCCCCAGAGGAGUAGAACUGACCACAGUAAUAGGAUGACCCUGGAAAUAAUGCCUCAACUUGCGACUGGCCAUGAACACUCCAUAAACCAGCUUCUGCCAAUGUGGGCACCUCUGCUUAGAUUCAAUUAAUACCUCACUGACAUAGUAAACCGGCCUUUGAACCGGAUAUUCCUUGCCUGAUUCCUUCCUUUCCACAACAACCGCCACGCUGACAGCCCUGCUGUUAGCAGCCACAUAUAAAAGCAAGGGCUCCUUGUCAAUAGGAGCUGCAAGAACCGGCAGCUCAGCCAACUGUUUUUAAGCGCUUCGAACGCCUGAUUGGCAGCAUCACUCCAAACAAAGUGAUCUAUUUUCUUCAUCAUCUGGUAAGAGGGAUAGCCUUUGCUCCCAGGCGGCUUAUAAACCUGCUUAAAGCCGCAAUAUGACCCGCCAAACGCUGGACGUCGUUAAUACAUGCCGGUUUAGCCAAAGAAGUUAUAGCCUUAAUUUUCUCCGGGUUAGCUUCAAUACCUCUCUCAGAGACCAAAAAACCCAAAAGCUUGCCUGCUGGCAUACCAAAGACACAUUUGUCCGGGUUAAGCAUAACUUGUAGACCCGGAGAUUGUCAAAGGUCUCCUUCAAAUCAUCUAACAAGGUCUCCUUCUUCCUGGAAUUCACAAUGAUAUCAUCCACAUAAGCAUGAACAUCGCGUCCAAUCUGGCUGUGGAGACAAUUCUGAACACAACGCUGAUAAGUCGCCUGGGCACUCUUGAGCCCAAAAGGCAUAGACACAUAGCAGAAGGCUCCGAAGGGAGUGAUGAAAGAUGUCUUCUCCUGGUCUUUAACUGCCAUCUUGAUCUGAUGAUAACCAGAAUAAGCAUCUAAAAAACUCAAGCACUCACAACCCGCCGUAGCAUCAAUGAUCUGAUCAAUACGAGGGAGAGCAAAAGGAUCAGCCGGACAGGCCUUGUUAAGGUCCGUGUAAUCUACACACAUGCGCCAAGUGUCGUUUUUCUUAAGUACCAACACCGAGUUAGCCAACCAUUUAGGAUGAAAAACUUCAACAAUAAACCCGGCCGCCAAGAGCCGAGCCACCUCUUCACCAAUGGCCUUGCACCUCUCUUCAUUAAAACGACGAAGGAAUUGCUUGACCGGUUUAAACUUUGGAUCAACAUUGAGAGUGUGCUCAGCAAGUUCCCUCGGUACACCUAGCAUGUCGGAAGGCUUCCAUGCAAAGAUUUCCCCGUUCUCACGGAUAAACUCGAUGAGCGCGUUUUCCUAUUUUGGAUCCAUGUUGGCACUGAUACUGAACUGUUUGGAUGAAUCACCAGGAACAAAAUCGACCUGCUUGGUGUCAUCUGCUGAUUUAAACUUCAACAAAGGGUCAUGCUCUGUGGUUGGCUUCUUCAAGGGGGUCAUAUCCGUCAGGUCAACAUUAUCUUUGUAGAACUUCAACUCCUCUGUUGCACAAACAGACUCAGCAUAGGCAACAUCGCCCUCUUCACACUCCAAAGCUAUCUUCCUAUCCCCAUGCACCGUGAUAGUACCCUUACGACCCGGCAUUUUAAGUUGCAGAUAAACAUAACAAGGUCGUGCCAUAAAUUUGGCAUAAGCCGGCCGUCCAAACAAGGCGUGAUAAGGGCUCUUGAUCUUGACCACCUCAAAAGUCAAUGUUUCAGCCCUACAGUCAUGCUCACUGCCAAAAGCCACUUCCAAGGCUAUCUUACCCACCGGAUAUGCCGACUUACCAGGCACCACCCCAUGAAAAAUAGUAGAAGACGGCUUAAGAUCUUUGUCAGUCAAAUUCAUACGGCAAAAAGCAUCAUAAUAAAGAAUAUUGAUACUGCUGCCUCCGUCCAUAAGCACUUUUGUGAACUUGUAUUCUCCAACCUGAGGAGAAACCACCAAAGCCAGUUGACCCGGGUUGUCAACCCGGGACGGGUGAUCCUCAUGGCUCCAUACAAUGGGCUGCUCUGGCCAUUGCAAGUACCGAGGUACUGCCGGCUCAACCGCGCUCACCGCUCGUUUAUGAACCUUCUGGUCUCAUUUGCACAAACUCGUGGUAAAAACAUGAUACUGGCCACUAUUCAGCUACUUCGGAAUACUCUGAUAGUCGGACUGCUGCCCCUGAUUACCUUGACUGGGCUGCUGAUUAAAACCACCUUGAUUGCCAUGGCCUUGAAAACCAGAGUUUGAGCCGCCACCUCCAAAACUGGGCCCGUGAGAGCCGGAUCCUGACCCGCCAUUCGGGCCAUGAUGGUCCUGAUAAAAACCGGAAUUUCUAUACUCCCUCAUGAUGAAACAAUCUUUCCAUAGAUGAGUAGUCGGCUUGUCUUGAGAACCAUGCUUUGGGCAAGGCUGAUUCAUUAUCGCCUCAAGGUUGAACUUUGGCCCGCCAAACCGGGGCAUUGAUGAUUUCCCCUUACGACGCUGAUUAUUAUUUUGUGUAUUGGUAUUGGCCACAAAAUCUGAACCGCUGUUAGCUUGCUUGCGCUUACCAUUAUUGCCUUGGUUCUGACCCGCCGUAUUGUGUUGCUGUCCCUUUCCAUUACCGCUCUUCUUCCCCUUGCCAGACUUCUCCUCAUCAGACUCAGGGUCUUUAGUGUUAUCAGAGUCAGCAUACUUGAUGAGAGCCGCCAUGAGUUCUCCCAUGUCAUUGUAGUGGCGCUUAAGACGCCCCAGCUUCUGUUUGAGGGGAAGGAAACGACAAUUUUUCUCCAAAGUCAGGACAGCUGAACCGGCAUUGAUGCUUUCCAACGAGUGGAUAAUAGCCGAGAUCCGAUGUACCCAAUGGGCGGUUGACUCGUCCUCCCUCUGGAUACAAGUGUCUAAAUCAAGAAUCGACGUAGGCUGCUUGCAUGUGUCCUUGAAAUUCCGAAUAAAACGCAUCUUCAGUUCAGCCCAUGAUCUGAUGGAGGUAGGGGGCAAUCCCUUUAGCCAGGUGCGAGCCGGCCCAUCGAAUAUCAUGGUGAAAUACUUGGCGCACACAACGUCAUUGCCGUCUAACAUCUCCAUGGCUGGCUCAUAGCUCUCAAUCCAAGCCUCCGGGGGCUGAUCCGCCGUGUAAUUGGGCACCUUGCGGGGGCCCUUAAAAUCCUCGGGGAGACGAUCAUUACACAAAGCCGACACUAGACACGGCACACCCACGGUCCUAGAAGUCAUCCCAGCUUCUAUAGACACCGACGGGUUAUGAUGAGGUUGCUGAUGAGCCACUAACUGAGCUGCUAACUCGGCCUCCCGACGUGCCCUGGCCUGAUCCACCAAAGCUUGAGCAUCGUUAUCAGCAUGUGGCGGGUCACCCCCAUGGGGCUGGUUACGGUGUAGCUCACUGCUCAAAACUGCCGGCGACUCAAUGCGCGGGCUAUAACUCCGACUGGGCGUGGAGUCGAAUGAAUCCGCUCACGGUUGUAUAAUAAGCCGCCUGCUGAGCUACCGCCGCCUGAAGAAGCUCCACGUCUUUCCGGGCUUGAACCGCCGCGGGAGACUCACCUUGCACUGGAAGAGCCGCCAGCCGUGACGCCGCAACAAUCAUGUUAUCCAGAGGGUUAGAAAAAUGACCCGUCGGUGUUGAUACUUAUUGAGGCGGGGUUAAAUUCAAACGAGGUGGAUCCGCGACACAUGGUUGAACCGUCGCCCCUGCCGCAGGCGCUUCAAUAGCCUGGUUUACCUCAGGCGGGUUACUUGGUCCUGGCCCAGGGGUACUGAAAAGAUUCCUUGCAUCAUAGUCCAGAGGUAGACGAUUCUGGUGCCUCCUGCGAAGAACGACAUUUGAAGCAGCCUGAUCCAAGCUUAACCGGAAAGUUUCCACUUGAAUCCGUUGCGACUUUGCCUCCUCGCUCUGUCGCCAUCCUAGCGUUCUCAAUGUUAAGCUCCUCCUUGGCCUGAGCUAUCUCAUCUCGCAGUUUUGCAACAUCCACCUUAUGCUGCGCUUGAGUCGCCGGGGUUACCUCUGCAGCUAAUAAAGUUGCCAAGGCAUCCAAGAGAUUGGACAAAACCUGAGCCGGCGGGCGCGCAGAGCCGCUCGCUCCGGCCAUCGUCUCGGCCGUUGAACCGGAAGUCAUAGCUCCAGCAGUUGAUUAAUUGAGCACCGGUUGUGUACCGGCCAUGAAGAUCGCGACUCUGUUCGGCGGCUCAUAGGGGUCCGGAAUACUGUCGCCAUUAGAACAACCCCCAAGCCCGCCGUCUUGCAGUUGAUACAUUGAAUUGGUCUCUCCGGUUGAGGAAUCAUCAUCAGAGUAGAUGGUCGUCUCUCCACCGGACACAGAUCCUUCCUCAAGAUCCGCUCCAUGAAUAAAACCAACGAAAGCAUGCUUCACGGCAGUUUGAACCUUGGCGGGUCCCGCGCGCCGAGCCGUCUCGAUGAUGUCGGUGCAGGUGUCCGGCUCAGGCUCUGACUCGUCGAUCUUGCCGAUGAAGACGUGCAUUCCGCCGAAGGGGACCCGGUACCCGUAUUCGAUUGAAUCAGCCUCGGGGCCCCAGCCUGCAUCGUCGAUGUAGAUUUUACCACGGCGACUCUUGGUCAUCUAGCCCAUGGCGUAUCCCUUGAUCCCUGAGAAGCUGCCCUUCAAGAACUCAAAACCACCAUGCUCUAGCCCCACGGUGGGUGUAAACUGUCGUGGAUUUGUCAUGGCAGAUGCCCUAGCAAAAGGACUUAGGUGUGGAGCCAUUGCAGCUAGGUUAGCUUAAAGGGGUUGACCGGGACAGGAGACACAGAGAGUUUACCCAGGUUCAGCCCCUCUCAAUGAGGUAAAAGCCUACUCCUGCUUUAGUUGUAUUUCUUGGGUUUCGAUUACGAGGGAGCGAAUACGCAUGACCUAGUUCUCGAUCGGUUGUUUUUUGAGUUAACCCGCCUGAUGUCUACUACGCAACCUUCUUCUUGUAGACGUUGUUGGGCCUCCAAGUGCAGAGGUUUGUAGGACAAUAGCAAAUUUCCCUCAAGUGGAUGACCUAAGGUUUAUCAAUCCGUGGGAGGCGUAGGUUGAAGAUGGUCUCUCUCAAACAACCCUGCAACCAAAUAACGAAGAGUCUCUUGUGUCCCCAACACACCCAAUACAAUGGUAAAUUGUAUAGGUGCACUAGUUCGGCGAAGAGAUGGUGAUACAAGUGCAAUAUGGAUGAUAGAUAUGGGUAUUUGUAAUCUGAAAAUACAAAAACAGCAAGGUAACAAGUAAUAAAAGUGAGCACAAACGGUAUUGCAAUGCGUUGAAACAAGGCCUAGGGUUCAUACUUUCACUAGUGCAAGUUCUCUCAACAAUAAUAACAUAAUUGGAUCAUAUAACUAUCCCUCAACAUGCAACAAAGAGUCACUCCAAAGUCACUAAUAGCGGAGAACAAACGAAGAGAUUAUUGUAGGGUACGAAACCACCUCAAAGUUAUUCUUUCUGAUCGAUCUAUUCAAGAGUCCGUAGUAAAACAACACGAAGCUAUUCCUUCCGUUCGAUCUAUCAUAGAGUUCGUACUAGAAUAACACCUUAAGAUACAAAUCAACCAAAACCCUAAUGUCACCUAGAUACUCCAAUGUCACCACAAGUAUCCGUGGGUAUGAUUAUGCGAUAUGCAUCACACAAUCUCAUAUUCAUCUAUUCAACCAACACAAAGUACUUCAAAGAGUGCCCCAAAGUUUCUACCAGAGAGUCAAGACGAAAACGUGUGCCAACCCCUAUGCAUAAGUUCAUGAGGUUACAGAACUCGCAAGUUGAUCACCAAAACAUACAUCAAGUGAAUCACGUGAUAUCCCAUUGUCACCACAGAUAAGCACAUGCAAGACAUACAUCAAGUGUUCUCAAAUCCUUAAAGACUCAAUCCGAUAAGAUAACUUCAAAGGGAAAACUCAAUCCAUUACAAUAGAGUAGAGGGGGAGAAACAUCAUAAGAUCCAACUAGAGUAGCAAAGCUCGCGAUACAUCAAGAUCGUACCACCUCAAGAACACGAGAGAGAGAGAGAGAGAUCAAACACAUAGCUACUGGUACAUACCCUCAGGCCCGAGGGUGAACUACUCCCUCCUCGUCAUGGAGAGCGCCGGGAUGAUGAAGAUGGCCACCGGUGAGGGUUCCCCCCUCCGGCAGGGUGCCGGAAUAGGGUCCCGAUUGGUUUUUGGUGGCUACAGAGGCUUGCGGCGGCGGAACUCCAGAUCUAUUCUGCUCCCCGAUGUUUUUAGGGUAUAUGGACAUAUAUAGGUGAAAGAAGUCGGUUAGGGGAGCCACGAGGGGCCCACGAGGGUGGGGGCGCGCUCAGGGGGGUAGGGCGCGCCUCCAUGCCUCGCCACCUCCGGGCCACCCCUUUAUAUACAGGUUGAUGCCCGGCGGCUUACAGAGUCCCGGCCGGCUCACGCAAAUGUGACCGGCUUGGUUUCUAACUAAGCUUGCCUUAUAGAGCAAGUCAUCAGCUAGCGGUUCACUCCUCCGGGCCUUGAGUCGCCUCCAAGUCUUGGGCCUUCAAUAGGCUUGCUCUAUAAACCGCCAUCUUCAUAUCUUCUUGGACCUUAUCAGGCCUCUUCAUCUUUAAGUCGCCAAUGGUAUGACCCGGCCCCUCCUGGGCGGGUCAUACCUAGUAGCUAUAUCCCCAACAUGGGGCUAAGGGUAAGUGGGAGGCCUCAAGCAUCUCUAACAACAACAUCGAGGACCUAAAGCGAGCGGGCUACCUCUCCCCCAACAUUGCUCAUCUGGCCCCUGAGGAGGGCCAGGUCGUGCCGACGCCCCGCACCGAUGAGAGGGUGGUGUUCAUUCCCCAUUUUAUCCGGGGACUAGGCUUCCCACUCCACCCGUUCGUUCGAGGGUUAAUGUUCUACUAUGGGCUCGACUUCCACAACCUGGCUUCGAAUUCCUUCCUCCACAUCUCGGCCUUCAUCACCGUCUGCGAAGCUUUUCUUAGGGUCCCGCCACACUUCGGCCUAUGGCUGAAGGUCUUCAACAUAAAGCCGAAGAUCAUCGAUGGCCAGCACGCGGAUUGCGGGGGCUCUAUCGUGAGCAGGCUCACCCGAAUCGGAUGGCCGGAGGGUGUGUUCAUCGACAUGGUCAAGAUCUGGCAGAAAGAAUGGUUCUACAUCGCAGAACCCUGUGACGCGGCCUGGGCGGCCGCUCCAGAAUUCAGAUGCGGACCCCCUGCGAGGUUAACCUCUUGGACCAAGAAAGGACUUGACUGGGGGUCUACGACCGAGGUGGAGGCGCUGCAAAAACGCAUCUCCAAUAUGAUAAAGGCGGAGGCCACGCUGACCAGUGUGGUCCAGAUCAUGCUCCACCACCGUCUCCUACCUUGCCAACUUCGGGCCGCCCCGGUGUGGUCCUGGAAGCCCGAAAACCCCCGCAUCGUGCAACACUACUAUGGCACCACCCACGAGAGGUUGUGGAAGGUGAUGUUCAAGCCGCAGAAGAUGUGGUCGGCCGAGGGGGAGGACAUCAGCCUCGAUGACGAGCAUCCCCCAAAGGAGGUAAUGUAGUAUUAUUCACUUUAUGUUCGGAUAUUUGCAUUCCCGCUAUGGUCCUCAACUCCUUUUUCUCGUUUCCAUAAAGCUGGCUUAAGAGGGUCGUGCGGAUUAACAAUCCGGCCCCACUGCCCGAAGACCCCAGGUCGGCUCAGCCGGAAGAGAUGCUGACCGUGGUGCCUUACUAGGCGCUAGAGAAAAAGGAGAAGAAGAAGAACCCCAUCCACUCAUUAGUCCCUCCGAACACCAAGUUUGGGGACACCCACGCCCCCUCUGCACAUGAGGGGGGGCAGGAUGAAGAGGAGGAGGAGAGCGACUCCUCCCGCACCAGGAAGAGAGCAGUGGCGGCCGAAGCCGAAGGAGAGCACACUUCCCCGGCUCCGAAGAAGAGGAGUAGGGGUAAAUUGGUGAUGCUCGAUGAUAGUACGGACUCCGAUGAGGAGUCUGCAGCCUCCGAGAAGGUCCCGGAGAGGGCUCCCAGGGUCAAGCACCGCGCUGAAAGGUGAGAAUCUGAAGACUGUCUGAGGCCGGUUUUACUAGACCAUUACUAAAAGCAUGUACGCUCUCAUGUUCUAGCCUACCGUGCGACCUCCCUACUAACCAGAUGUUGGAGGGCACUUCUCCACCAACUGAUCUGGCAGAAAGCGGAGGGGCAUCACACUCUGCGCCUCCUCCGGUCAUCGGGGAGACCGGGGAGGUGCUGUCCCAAAGGAACCCACCCGUGCCAAGCACGGGGGGCGAUGGAGACAUCGACAUGGCCGAGACUAACGCUUCGGCCAUCGAAGACCAGAGAAGGAGCUCGGGCAAGCCGAGCCCUCUCAGAAGAUGGUUCCGGGGCCUCACGGCCUUUCGAAGCGUCACAACCACCCCCCACCUGAGGGGGAGCCCGGGUCCCGCCGCCGGUGCCGAACAUCGGGAACCGGGUCAUGGCAGAGUGGCCGAACAUGAUGGAAGAGGCUGUGAACAGCUCCUCCACAGUCGCAGAACACCACGCCCUGAUGGGCGUGGUUUCACAAAGCAUUCGAUCCGUUAACAGCGCACUGAAAGAAGCUUUUGAUUGGCCUCCUAAUAGGCUUUGAGGUAAGCAAUGUAAUGUUCUCUCUUUAUAAGAGUGUACUUCUGUGGACAAGAUUUGAGCGAUCCUUAUAUAUAGCAGCCCCCGAGACUCUGGCAGGUUUUGAAAAAAAUAUGUCUGAGGAUCGAAGACCAUCAAAAAAAUAGUCUAAAUGAGGUGCUUGCUAUAUUUUUGCAGGCCUCAGCGCUGGCGGCUGCCGCCAAUGCCGCGGAGCUGGCUGAGAUGAAUCGGAAGCUCAAGAGCUCCAAUGAGGAGCUCGACUUCAUCAACAAGCGGUUUGACGAAGCACAAGGUUAGUUCGUUUGAAACUUCGUUCUUUGAUUUUCUUUGUCGAGCAAAGUAUUCGGGAUUAUCCCUGAGCAAGAGGUGAUUUGCAGUUGCCGCCGCAGAGGUCGAGGGCCUCAAGGCCAAGCUGCUGAAGGCCAAGAAGGAAGCAGCCGAACAGAAGGCGGCGACCAAACAGGCGGCCGCCGAACUCACGUUGGUAAAAAUCGAGCGCCAGAAGCAUGAGGCCGGAGUGGCCGAAGUACAACAAGAGCUCAAGGAUGCCAUCACUAAAUGUGAGGACCUUGAGCAGAAAAAUAAGGUUCACGCCACCGAGCUAGCGAACAUAAAGACAAAGAUCCAGGAGGCGCGGCCAGAGACACGGUGCACCCGGGAGGAGCUCCGACAAGUAAAGCAAAUUGCAAAUGGUAAGCAGUACUUACUGCAGAGUGUCUUUGGUGGCCACAGAUUCGCGUUGCUCACCCGGGUCUGGCGUUCCGCAGGCGCGUUUGUGGAUCUCCCGAAGAGUGUGGUUGAUGCAUCAAGGCACUAUGCGGCCCGGGAGGGUGACUCCGAACUGAGGCUGUUCUAGGUGUAGUUCCAGGUACCCGAGCACCCUCUCCUCCUCGUUAAUCAAAUAAAGCAAUUGAUGGAGCUGCACCGGAUGGUGGAGCCGGCCAUGAAGGACCUCUGUAUCCGGCUGUGGCCCUCCGAGCCCAUACCGAGCAGCUAUUUGGUUUAGUGGCGAAGCUGUGUGAUGCUUCUGCCCGGAUUGAGACCGUUAAGUGCUCGCUAUGCAUCGAAGGGGCUCGGAUGGCGUUCUCGAAGACCAUGGUGCAUUGGCCAAAGAUCAAACCCGCCGAGAUGGCCACUGGACCUCCUCUAGCUGGAAAGGAGCAUAGGCGCCCAGAGCAGUACUUCUCCACCGUGAUGGACGGUGCUCGGGCAGUAGAGGCACGGUGUUCAAAGGAUGUACUCCUUGAGUAAUUGCGCUGUUAUGUAUUAAACUGUGACGAAACCUGAUGCUUUAUAAUGCAAUGGUGUUUUGUAUGGGUUAUCAUACUUGUCUGUGUUUACGUUAAUUUUGACUCCUGUGCGGCCGUUUCAUUCUGAAAGUUACCAGUCGUCGGCUUCACCCCCCACAUAGAUGCUACGAGGGGUGUUCCGUUCUCCGCACUAUAAACCUUAGUCGACGUCUUGGUGCCCUAAGGCGGUAAUGUAGGAGGGAAACAAGGCAAUCGGACUAUGCGGCUUUAUUACUUUGACUUAGCCAUAGGAGCUUGACUAUGGGGGCUGGUAACUAGCCCCCAGUGUGGUGAGAUGUUCAGUGCACCCAUGGGCUAGGCAUCUAUCACUUGAUCUGUUUGAAAACAAAUCCUUCGUAUUACACGGUACAGUCACUAACGAGUUUUAGUUUGAAGACUUGUCAAUGGAUUGCCGACCAGUUCUCGCGUAUUAUGACAGUUAUUUUUUGGCUUUCUCCAAUGAGGUACUUGACCGGACUAGGCAGAAGUACAAUCGUAGUGGUUCUCGCUUUACCUACUUAGCUGAACAUGUGAAAUGUAAGAAGUUAAGCACAGGAGCAGUGCAACCCAACUAUUGACCCAAGACAUAAUUCGGAACUGAUGCAUAUAAUGCAAUAUCCGAGACGCCGAACAUAGGGGGAAAAGGGUGCUGGACUUGAUACAUAGGGGAAGUGUCAAGGUCAAGUCCCUGGUCUAUAUAUGAAAUCAUAUGUGCACCAUACGUAAUUAAGAUAGAGUCCAAGAGCGGGAAAAAGGAGCAUGCAGUAUAGAUAACUGUAAAAGAACCGCAAAAGGUUUUUGCUUUAUUUCCAAUGAGCUCAUGACGUCUAGCCGUACAAUUCGAACAGUAGAAACGAAACUUCUGGUGUAGAUGGUUUGAACAAUAAAAAAAGGAAAAAAAAUAUAGAUGAGAAUGUUUACGCAGGGCCUUGACAUAUGGAUUGAUACCCUUACUUUGGCCUACUGCGCGUCUAAGCCUUUGCUUCUGUUUGGCGGAGGGACUCCAUGGAAGGGAUGGUUAUCCGACGACACACCCUUGAUAGGGAGCUUCGAGAGGUCGCUGUGUUGUAUGGGCUUGAUGUCGGAUAGGUCCUGGAUGGUACCUGUUCAUCGUUCGAAGACGCGUUAGUCCAUGGUGCGGUUGAACGGAACUCUUGGUGUUUAAGCCCCAUAGCUGCCCAUGGUAUUUUGAGCACAAAGUUGUGUCGGUGAGGCACGUAGCAUGCCGCCGGGGUGGGCGUGCUGUGGGGGGCGUAUCCCUAUGUACGUCGAACGGAGGGAGGAUCCUUGGGUGGAGAUAAGGCUCGAGCUCGUUUGCUUGCCUCGCGCGCCUUGAUGGCGUGCUGGCACUUCGGCCAUUUGGCAUCAGAUUGGUCUUCGGCCGCCAGGGCCAUGGUGUGUUCCUCUGUCCGGAGAGAGCACUCCGUAUUUCCAUUGACUGUGAUGAUGCCUCUAGGUCCGGACAUUUUUAAUUUGAGGUAGCCAUAGUGUGGAACGGCGUUGAACCGAGCAAAUGCCGUUCGGCCUAGGAGGGCGUGAUAGCCACUGCAAAAGGGGACGAUGUCGAAGAUCAAGUCUUCACUCCGAAAGUUGUCCGGAGAGUUGAACACGACCUCUAAGGUAAGGGUGCCCGAACAGCGAGCUUCAAUGCCAGGGAUUACCCCCUUGAAGGUGGUAUUACUGGGUUUGAUCCUUGAUGGGUCAACACCCAUUUUCCUUAUGGUAUCUGCAUAGAUCAGAUUGAGGCUGCUGCCUCCGUCCAUAAGGUCUCUGGUAAGGUGAUACCCAUCAAUAAUGGGGUCUAGGACCAAGGCCGCCGAUCCUCUGUGAUGGAUACUGGUCGGGUGGUCCCUGCGGUCAAAGGUGAUCGGACAAGCCGACCAUGGAUUAAAUUUCGGGGCUACCGACUCGUCGGCGUAGACGUCCCGAAGUGCACGCUUCCUCUCUUUCUUGGGUAUGUGAGUUGCGUAGAUCAUGAUCAUUGUUUUGACCUCAGGAGGGAACUAUUUCUGGCCUCCAUUGUUCGGCCUGCGAGGCUCCCCGCCGUCCACGCUGCAUGGGCUUUUGCCCGUAUCUUCGGCUUUGAUCCUGCCGGCCUGUUUAAUGACCCAACAGUUAUGGUUGGUGUGGUUGGCAGGCUUGUCGGGGGUGCCAUGGAUCUGGCAUGGCCUGUCUAGGAUGGUGUCCAACUUGUCAGGCUUUUUCCGCGGACCCGAUUUGGAGUUGUGGAAUCCGGUGUUUACUUUCAUGUCAUCAGCAUCGGUAACAUUGUGCUGACACUUGUUUUUAUUGCGCCCUGGCUUCCCAUUAUCGUCCUGGGCUCGGGGGUCUCCUGGGUUGGUGCUUCUACGAGCCAACCAACUAUCUUCACCCGCACAAAAGUGGGUCAUGAGUGCGGUAAGAGAUGCCAUUGUCCUCAGCUUGUCUUGGCCGAGCUGGCAUGCGAGCCAUUUCGUCCCGGAUACUAUGUUUGAAUGCGGCUAUGGCUUCGACAUUCGGAAAGUCGACUAUUUGGUUCUUUUUGGUCAAGAACCUAUUCUAAAAUUGUCGGGCUGACUCGCCGGGCUGUUGGACCACAUGGCUCAGAUCAUCGGCAUCCGGAGGCCGGACAUAGGUGCCUUGAAAGUUAGCUCAGAAAGCGUCCUCGAGCUCUUCCCAGCUCCCUAUGGAGUCUUCGGGGAGGCUGUUCAACCAAUGCCGGGUUGGUCCUUUGAGCUUUAAUGGCAAGUAUUUUAUGGCGUGGAGAUCAUCUCCUCAUGCCAUAUGAAUGUGUAGAAGAAAAUCUUCAAUCCACACAGCCGGGUCUAUAGUCCAGUCAUACGGUUCAAUAUUUACGGGCUUAAACCCCUCUAGGAAUGUGUUGCAUCACUUCAUUAGUGAAGCACAUUGGGUGAGCAGCGCCCCUUACGCGGGCUACGUCGCGCUAGAACUCGGCUUCCAUCCUUGCCCGGUGUUGCUCCUGAACUCUGUCGUUUCGGUCGAGCCAUGCCUGGCAUCCGUCCCGUCUAUUGGGAGGGUAGCCUCUUGAUCCGUAGAUAGACCUUUGACUGACCUGCUCUAGUGGCCAGGUCAUGUUGUAGGUCGUAUUUAUAUUCUGGUUGCGCCGCCUCCUUGCCUCUUUGGCGAGGGGGGACGGGUGGGAGUUCGCCUUCCCUAGCAGGCCUAUCCCGUCCUCGAGGGGGGCAGGCUAGCUGGUUGCCUUGAGUCCGUCUUGGUGGUGCAGGCUCGAUGGCCUCGCCGUCAAACUAUGGGAGCAGCUUCCGCUUUGGGUAACUUUUGUUUUGUUGCUCGUAGCCGUACCCUUCUUCGGCUGCCAGGACCUUUGUCCAUCUAUCGUUGAGGGUGUCCUGUUAGGCCUUGAGCUGCUGCUUCUUCUUCUUGAGGCUACGUGCGGUGGCAAUAAGUUGUCGUAUGAACUGCUCCUGAUUGAGCGGGUCUUCCGGGACUAUGAAGUUCUUGGCUCCAAGGCUAACCUCUGCUACUUCUUGAGCUUGCGUUGAUUUUUCCCUUGAAGAGGAAAGGGUGAUACUGCAAAGUAGAGAUAAGUAUUUCCCUCAGUUAAGAACCAAGGUAUCAAUCCAGUAGGAGGCACAUGCAAGUCUCCAAUAUAUGCGCCUGCACAAACUAACAAACACUUGCACACAACGCGAAAAAGGGGUUGUCAAUCCCUUCCCGGUCACGAACAAGAGUGAGAUCUGAUAGAGAUAUGUAUAAAAGAUAAAUAAAAGAGCAAACUAAAGUAAAUAUAAAUAAAUUGCAGCAAGGUAUUUUUGGGUUUUUGGUUUAUAGAUUUGAAAAUAUAUGAUGGAAAAUAGACCCUGGGGCCAUAGGUUCACUAGAGGCUUCUCUCUUGAAUAAAGCAUACAGUGGGUAAACAAAUUACUGAGAAAAGCGCAUAAUUAUGACGAUAUCUAAGCAAUGAUCAUGAAUAUAGGCAUCACGUCCGUGACAAGUAGACCAACUCCUUCCUGCAUCUACUACUAUUACUCCACACAUCGACCGCUAUCCAGCAUGCAUCUAGAGUAUUAAGUUCAUAAGAACGGAGUAACACCUUAAGCAAGAUGACAUGAUGUAGAGGGAUAAACUCAAGCAAUAUGAUAUAAACCCCAUUUUUUAUCCUUGAUGGAAACAAUACAAUAUGUGCCUCACUACCCCUACUAUGUCACUGGGUGAGGACACCGCAAUAUUGAACCCAAAACUAAGCACCUCUCCCAUUGCAAGAAAAGCCAAUCUAGUUAGCCAAACCAAACCGAUAGUUAGAAGAGGAAUACAAAGAUAUCUUAAUCAUGCAUAAAAAAGUUCGGAGAAGACUUAAAUAAUAUUCAUAGUAAUCCACAAUUCAUUAGAUCUCAACAAACACACUGCAAAAGAAGAUUACAUCGGAUAGAACUCCAAGAACAUCGAGGAGAACAUUGUAUUGAAGAUCAAAGAGAGAGAAGAAGCCAUCUAGCUACUAGCUAUGGACUCGUAGGUCUGUGGUAAACUACUCAAGCUUCAUCAUAAGGGCAGCAAGGUUGAUGUAGAGGCCCUCCGUGAUGGAAUCCCCCUCCGGCAGAGUGUCGGAAAAGGCCCCAAGUUAGUUUCAUUCAAAUCAUGCAAAUUAGAGUCCAAAACAAGAGCAAAAGCGUUAGGAAAAGUAGAUACGAUGGAGACGUAUCAACUCCCCCAAGCUUAACCCAUUGCUUGUCCUCAAGAAAUUCAGUUGACAAACUAAAAGUGACAAAGAAAAACUUUUACGAACUCUUUUGUUCUUGCGUUCAUAUAUAUGCUUAAAUAAUGUCCAGGGUUUCAGCAAAGAUCAUAACUAACCAUGCAGACGAUAACUAUUAAAAAUUAUAUUCACUCAUAUCAAUGGCAUAAUCAACUAGCGAGUAAUAAUAAAAUAUUUCAAAUGCCAACACUUUGUCAAAACAAUCAUGAUAUAAUAUGGCAAUAAUGGUAUCUCGCUAGCCCUUUCUGAGACCGCAAAACAUAAAUGCAGAGCACCUCCAAAGUUCAAGCAGCGAUUAAACAUUGUAAUUCAUGGUAGAAGAGAUCCAGUCAUGGUGCACACAACAUUAACUAUACACAAUGCAUGAGGAUGACAAUUGUGCUCUCAGGACUGGUGCUUGUUUGAGAAGGUGAUGACUCAAUAAUAAAAAUAAAAUAACAUAAAAAGUAAAUGGAUAGGCCCUUUGCAGAGGGAAGAAGGGAUUUGCAGAGGUGCCAGAGCUCGAAGCUUAAAUCAGAGAUAAAUAUAUUUUGAGAGGUGCACCUUUCCUAUCAAUGUUACGACCAUGAGUUUUCAAUAUCUACCAUGUUAAACAAAUUAGUGGCGGUUCCCAAGCGGUAAAAGUAAAGUUUACUCCCCCUCCACCAACAAACACAAGCCAUGGCUAGCCGAAUCCUCGGGUGCCCUCCAUACCAACAACAUUUCGGGGGAGUUUUGUUUAAUUAUUUGUAAUUUUUGAUCAUGGGACCGGGCAUCCCGAUUACCAACCCCUCUCGUGCAAGGAUGAGUGAAUAAACACUCAUCAUGAGAAUAACCCACUUAGCAUGGAAGAUGCUGACCAGCCCAUGUCGCUCCAUGAGCGGUACGGACACACAAAACAGAUGUUCAUUUGAAUAUUUAGAGGUGGCACAUGCAAAUUUACUUGGAACGGCAGCCUGCAUAUAGGUAGAUAUAGUGGACUCAUCUGGAAUAACUUUGGUUUAAGGAUUUUGAUGUACAAGAAGUAUUCCCGCUUAGUACAGGCGAAGGCUAGCAAUUGGGUAGAGAAGUGACCAACUAGAGAGCGAAAAUGGUCAUGAUCAUGCAUUAUGAACAAUUAACAUUGAGUACUAGCACGAGUAGGAUAUAAACACCAUGAACAUAAAUAUCGUGGAGGCUAUGUUGGUUUUGAUUCAACUACAUGUGUGAACAUGUGCCAAGUCAAGCCACUUGAAACAUUCAGAGGAGGAUACCGUAUCAUCAUAAUACAUCACAGCUAUUCUAAUGCAUGUUGAUACCCAAGAUAAAUCAUUAUCAACUCCUAGCUACUUAAGCAUGGCAUGAGCAACUAUAAUCUCUAAUUGUCAUCACAAACAUGUUUAAUCAGACUAUGCUGAAUCAUGGAUACUGAGUUAAACAUAUUUACAAAAGAAAAAACAAGUUGAGUUCAUACCCGCAUUUCCUUGCCUCAGUCACUUCAUCAUAUAUCGUCAUUAUUGCCUUUCACUUGCACGACCGAAUGAUAUGAAAAUAAUAAUAGUGCAAGAGUGCCUCAGACUAAGCUAGAAUCUGCAAACAUUUUAUUUACAGGAGAAGACAAAAUAAUAUGGGCUCAUCAUUAGAUCAAUAGUAGUGCAUGUGAGAGCCACUCAACAUUUUCAUCGCGGUCUUCCCCUUGGUACGACUUAACAAAAAGAAAAAAAAA